AACGAACGAACGUUCUGGUUCCACCAGCUGUUUGUCAUUGCGCGUUAAGUUCAAUCUACACGUCAAAAUCUCCCUAUAAAUGCCACCACGUCUUGACUCCCAUUCCAUCACAGAACAGCAAACUUCUAUAUUUCUAUUGCUGCUUACUACAGCUUCGACUUUUGCUAAAAAGAAGUAAAAGACAUCUUCAAGAAAAUGGCUCAAGUUAGUAUGAUCAAGGCUUUGGUGUUGACAGUCGUCAUGUCGGCCAUUACUGCCGCCUCGGCUGAAGAGGUAAGCCUGGCCCCGGCACCGUCUCCUGAUGCCGGAGCCGGGUUUUCUUUGCCAGUGUCCACCGCUUUGAUCGCCGCGUCUCUGCUCUCGUCAGUUUUUGGUCUGAUGAGGAAUUGAGGUUUUCCUCAUGGACCAGCUCGUAUACAUUUACCAUUGAUUAUGGACAUAUUCUUUUUGUUAAUUAUAUGCAGGAAUUUGACACCUGAAUUCGUGAUUCUUUCAUCCCUGUAUUUGUGUAUCACUACAUUUAUUAAAAGAUAGUGAGGAAUAAAAAUCUCUAUUUUGUUAUCAUCAUGCUUUUGUUCGUGUAAGAUUUGCAUGCAAAUUGAAUUAUAUUUUGUUCUGUCUUAUCUUUAUAUCUUUUACUUUUUCAAUCCGAUAGCGUGUCGCCUAAAAAGCAAGACUAAUGGCCUCAAAAGCCCCAUAUAUAUGUUCCUCUCAAAUCCAAACUUUUGAUCUUCUAUUCCUUGUUUUCCCCUUUUAAUUCACCUUGAAAAUGCCAUCGUUUCUGGAUGCAAAACUGUGGGGAGACUAUGAAAGAUUGCGUUUUUUUUUUUUUUUUUUUUUGGAAAGAAAAGAGCCAAAAUUUUAUUAAUCUGAGAUAAUGUCCGCAACAAAUGCGGUAAUAAUAAAAUCUGGAGGGGAGACUAUGAAACAUUGCCUUAGUCAAUAAGGAAUUGUAAAGUUUUUUUUUUUUUUCUUUCUUUGUAAAGGAAACCGAAUUAGAGUAUUUUAAAUAUUAGCACAUUCGAUGUUUAAUUACUAGAAUAGUUAUAGGUUUCCAACAAUGCGUUUAGGGCAGCAGCGACCUAUGAGCAGGGGAUAACUGAUUCAUACAUAGAUUUGUACUAACUAUAGUUAGAUAUUCAAUGUGAAUUGUUUUAUAUCCCUCCUAUUUAAAUUGUUGCUUUAGGUUUAUAAUAAUCUAAAUCAUGCUUGUGUUCAAACUAAAAUGGUUGAGAUUCUUUUUCUUUAUUAGUAUUCUUCUUACAUAAAGAGACAAUUUUUAGGACUUUGAAGAAUGAAACAUAUAUAUAUAUAACUGUGUGAAUUUUGACAAUUUCAAAAACGUCUAAAAUAAGAAACUUUACAAAAACUAAAAGGAAGAGAAUUCCACCUCUAGACUAAAAGGGUAUUAUACUACUGCAUAUCUUUCGAAUUUUAUGUACAGAGGUUUAGACGUCUGAAACCUGCAUUUUAUGCUUCACCUAGUUAGUGAUCAAUUCGCCUAAAGAAAGUUGGUUUGGAAAUUUAUCCUUGUUGGUAAAUAGGAAAUUGAACCAUCAAUCUCUCGUCAGUAUUCCCUGCAGAUAACAUCGUCUCUAAAUUUGGCCAUUUGUCCCUCAGAAUGCUACCUUUAACCUUUCACCUUUCUAACAUCUUCCUUCUUCCGUUCUGCUCCCAUCCAUGUGGAGAAUGGAGCAAUUAGUCGUUGAAUGAACCUGUUCAAAGAACUUUUGUCCACCACUUCAAUUCAGUCACUACAAUAUCCUUUAUUCCAUUCUAUGGAUUCAAUUGCCCCCUGGGUUAGAUCACCCGGUCUGCGGCUGGAAAACCACUCGCAAGGUCGUGGGAUCGAACCUCACCUAACGCCUGGGUGCGGUUGGGGUGGCGCUGUACUCCAGGCGCAGGGGAUUAGUCGGGCCGCCUUCGGGUCUUGACCCGGACACCCCUGUGUUGAAAAAAAAAAAAAAAAAAAAAAAAAAAAUUUUCUAUGGAUUCAAUUCUUUAUUUCAUCAUGCCUUAACCCGCAACCAAACCACCUGCCACUGUAAUGAGACUUCCAAGUUCCCAACUGCAGCUGAUAACAUGCUAAAAGCCUAAAACAUAAAAUACGGCGCCGCCCACGUUAGCCACAUGGCGCAUCAAUAAUAGCCCACUCACUCACUCCCAGCUAAGCUCCAGGUAACCGGAAUCAUGCCGGGAACGGGGGGUGGGACGAAUGCUUUCGAAACGGUUUUGUCCAAUUCAACAAGUUGUACGUUUAAUUUUUAAAAAAAAAAUGUAAAUUAUUUUAAAAUACGAAGUAAAUAUAAAAUAAACUUUUGCAAAGUUCAACAGUAUAUAUGGUUUAAUGUGAACCUUAGUAUAUCUUUUUUUUGUACCAAUCUUAGUAAUUUGGCAUGCAAAGACCGUUAUGCCAUGCAAACUCUCAAGGUCCGUAGUUUUAUUUUACACAUUUGAAUUUGUACGUCAGUUGAGUGCUGGUUUGAUUGUAUAAAUGGAGGACUGUCAGUUGACGGUGAAGCAAGUUCAAAGCAGUACUGGCUAAAAAUUCUUCUGGUAUUUUGUCAAAAGAAUUGAAUAGGCGCUUGAUUUGGCUGAGUUGGAAAAUUAUUUGUUUUUUCCAAACCAAUUCAAUUUGGUAGUGACAUAUGAGGUUCAGCUUAAUAUCGACACCUUUUCCUUUCUUUUUUGUGUUGAAAUACUAUAUGGUAUACAGCAGUAUACCACCACAAGUGGUUAUAUCUAACAUCUACGCCAAGAUGUAUACAAGAAGAACAUAUUAGUAUGAUUUAUGAAACGAUGCAUCCUACCAUAUAUACUAUGCUAAUGACUUCCAUUAAUUUAAUGGAGUGGAAGUCCUUCGAGGUUGAACGAUCACUUAAGAAGGAGAGGCUUCGGAUUCUUGAAUAUCCAACUCAUGCUCAGCAAUUAUGAUGCAAGAAUCAGCUUCCAGGGGUGAGUUCAAGUUCUUGUCCUUGGAGGAUUCUUUGGGUGAAUUGAGCAUAUCAGCUGAGCACUGAACAUCAGGUGUUAUUCCAACCUGAUCAAUGUCAUGAAGUCCUGGGGACAAGUAUUUUGCCACUGUUAUAAAUAAAGCCGAUCCGUCAUCCAGCUCCGUUAUGCUCUGCAGCAAAAUGACUCAGCAUUGUUAAGGGAACUGAUGUGCAGUGCCAUAAGUUCUCAAAGAAGUGGUGAUAAAAAAGUGAUAAGGUAACCCCAAAGUCGAAAAGGAUUCAGAUGUUUAAGAGUCAGUAGGAGGAAUCCAGCCAUUAGGAUGCCACCCCAAUGGCAAGACUUCAAACUCCUGGUAUAUGGCAAUUAAAUGCUUCUUUGUUCUAACAUUUUAACCAUCCCCAAUUCCAAACUUGAUGGCCACAGGUUGAGUUCAGCUAAUCUUAAAUAUUUGAGGUGAGGCCUAGUGUAAUCUCUUGAAACCACUUAAACAAGCUAAGAAAAGUUUUUGGCGUGUCCACCACAACAUGGCCAGUUUGUAAAAAUCAGUCUGAGGAAGACAAGGAUAUGUUUCCUGGUAUCUAUUACCUUUAGGAAAAAAAAGGGAAUCUCUGAUAUUUUUAUGAGCUCAUCCUUUGAUUCAAAGCUCCAAGUUAUUGAUCCUUAGAUUAUGAGCGGAAGUUUGAGAUUUUAAAUGAUGGAGUGCGUCUAUAACAGUUAUGCUUUUAAGAAGAUACUGCAAACCUGUAUUUUUCCCUUCCCAAAAGUUCUAUGUCCAACAAGAAGUGCUCGGCCAUUGUCAUGAAGAGCUCCUGCCAGAAUCUCACUGGCACUUGCACUUCCCUCGUUCACCUGUUCAAGUAAAAGGAAAGAAGUUCGCAGGUCAAACCAUGGGAAUGCUUUCGGGAAGUAUUAUUCAAGUAUCUCUCAAGCAAAAAGAGAUCCAUCUACACUUCUAUGUUGUUGGAAUCAUUCAUCUACUCACAAGGACAACAAGUGGAUCGUGUGUUACAGCAUGCCCGUUGGCCAUGCUGAUUGAGAACAAAUUACCAUCUCUAUCAAUGGUGUUUACAAGAGUCUCAUCCCCAUCAAGCCAAAUUUGGGCAACAUCAAGUCCUGCUUUGACCAAACCGCCCUGCAAGGUCAUAAGGAGAAAAAAGAAUACUUGUAAUCAAGUUAUGAAUGCGCAUUAAAGGUACAAAAAGCUUUGCACCAAGAGAACAGAAAUCCUUGAGCUUACAGGAUUAUUCCGCAGGUCUAAGAUGUACGACUGUACGCCUUGAUUUUCCAUCUCACGGAUGGUAUUUUGCAUAUCGGUUGCAGAACUCUGUCAUAUUAAAAGGAUGUCAUGCAAACAUGAUGUGCAAAAGAAGAAGUGACUGAAUAUCAUGAGUUUUUUCUGACUACCUGAGAGAAAGCUGACAAUUUCACAUAUCCAGUUUUUGACAUGUGACCGUCAGGUGUUCUGUGAGUGAUGAUAGCACUGGAUACUGGUGAGAACCGAAUUACUUCACGAGGUAGUUUUACCUUCACGAUAUUGUGUAGUUUUAUAUAAGUUCAUCGAGUAAUAAAUACUGGAUCUAGGUUGCAGCACAAAGCUCUGCUGUGGACAUGUUCUAUUCCAAAUUACUGCAAUCUAGCCUUUGAGAUAACCGUCACUAUGCCAGAAUUAACUAGCCAUGUAAGAUGCAGUAUACCAACUAAUUGUACUAGUAAUGCAUUUGUACCUCUCUGAAAUUAGAAUUUUUGGAAUCAGUACCCUGAAAAGAAUGAAAACAAACCAGCAAGAACAGGAAGUUAGAAUGUGAGUACAACAUGUGAUUACCAAUGCAUGUUAAAUAUGUCAACUCUCAGAUUGACAUGCUUGUAUAUGCAAGUCAAGUUACAUCCACCAUCUUAGAACUUCAACUGACAAUGACACCAACAAAUCAGCAUCACUGAAUGUUCAUAUGCAUCAUCUAAAUGUGAUUGAUUUCAUGCAGCUGUCGGGGCUUAGUCUUGUUAUAAACAAAGUGAACAUUUUUAUGUUGGAAGUGAAGCAAUGGUUACUUAACAAGAAAAUAUGUCAAAGUAUCAUAGAAUGUUGGAUAAAAAUGAAAAUUUCCUGACCUGUCAACUGACUCAUUGUUUGAAAGAACCAGAGACAUCCAGUUUUAGAUACUUUGAAUCCAAUCAAGGUUUGAAAUGAAUCUUGACUUCUGGAUUCCUUGUCAUUUUUAACAUUUGCAAAGCUAAGAUGCAUAAUUGUCUAAUUGAAGGAUGCUGCAGUUUUUGAGAACACCCUAUGGCCAUGUUGAAUACAAAGAUUGGAAGGAAAAUUGCUUACGGGGUGAAUUUUUACAGUAACAGUAGUGCCAGCACGGCCUCUGAGCUUCUGUGCUGCUGCUUCGCUUCCGAUUCCCUCAAUGCCUUCCCCUGAUUUUUACAAACAACAGUCAACAAUGCUUUAGGCACUUAUUUUUGUACACAUAUCUUUUCCUACCAAGACAAGUUGGUAGAAUAACACCUAUAUUUAUUUCAAGUACACAGUGUGUAGUACUAAAGAAUUAUGAACAGAACCUUUUGGAACGAAGAUAAAUACAAGCUAUUAGUUCUAAUCACUAGCUGAGUGGUAACCCCCGAGGCUGUUCAUGGUCCUAAACUGACAGUCAAGAGAAAAGGAUUUGCAGUGGAUAAAGAUAAAAAGCUUCCCCCAUCAACAACAUCUCUUCCCAGAGAGGAAGUGCUUACAGAAAGCACUUAAAAGUAGAUUGGAAAAUGUCAAACUUUAGAGAUGAAUAAAAUACUUCAGGUGAGUCCCAAAGAAAUUUUGUUAAAUGAAGAUCCGAAUUUACAAUAUUUGAUUUCCUUGUCAUUAUCCAAAUUUAUUUGUUUCUGAACAGUAUGUAUGAGUUUGAAUACAUCUGGAGCUAAAACCACAAGGAUUGUGUGGAUAAAGUCUAAUAAAUGUGGCUGACCUUAGGAUUUUCCUUUAGAAUACAUGAGUCAGUAAUCUACACGAGGCAAUUCAAUUACUUAAAAAACAUCAUCUGCCUACAUGGCAUAGACAUAAUUAACGCAUUGCCUUGGCCUGAUAGUCUGAACUAAAUCCAGAAAAUUGAGGCAAAUCUUCAACUUAAAAAGAACUAACAGCAUUGAACCCUAUCCACAGGGUAAAUUAUCUGAAGCAUAUAGACCUUUCAACUUUCACAUAAGACAGUAUAGUUAUUUAGAAUCUGCCAAGAAAAAAAUUACAAUCCAUCUUUGAGAUUAGGUCCUAGAGUCUCAUUUAUUUCACUCAGCCAUUAUGCAUGGGAGUAUUGUUCAAUAGUAGCUCAGCCUCUAUCAAAUUAUGGAAAAUACAUAAAUAAAUCUUGUUAAUUGAUAAGAUGAAGAGUUUGGUCGUCAUUUACCAUUAAUUUCAACCAGCUCAUCUCCUUCAUGUAUACCAGCACGUGCGGCUGGACCAUGCUCCACACAUGAUGAAACAACCUGCAGUUAGAUGACAAUGAAAACAAUACAUAACCAUUUGUAGUCAAAUGUUAGAAACAAAGACUAUAUGAAUGUUUGCAGGGAUCCAAGAACCUGGACAGAUAAACAAAUAUUUUACAGUCUCAGUAGAACUUGGACACAUUUAGGAAUUUAGUAUUCAAUCCACUUGGUGGACAUAAUGUGCAGUCAAAUGAAUGCAAAAGAGAAACAAAACAAAUAGACACAUGUGCCAAGAAGAGAAAGGCACAGAAUAACAAUGGUUCUCAUCACAUCAGAAUAACAAUGGUUCUGUUCAGUCUUGUUUCCCCUCAAGGGUUGCAUCUUGUGACACCCUGCUCGAAUUCUGGGGAGCAUGCAGACUAUCAGUUAUGGUGACAGAAUAAUGCUUUGUUCCAGAGUUUCAUGAUCCGUAUCACCAUGAAUGCAACUACAUGCAUCUUCACUUCUUUUCACCUGCUUUGCUUUUGGUUGAUUUUUCCUAAUACGCUGGCUAUAGGCUUUGGGCUUCUUAAGCUUGCGAUUAUCUUAAUUAAAUAGGUAGACAACAGCUUCAAUUAGAAGGGUGUCAAAAAGUUUAAGCAAGUGUAGUAGGAACCAUGGUAGCAAGUUUAUGAACUAUGCAUGAUAUGAAUAAAUUUUGAACGCAUUAAUUCAUUUAGUAAUCCAUUUAGGAGCACAGACUUACAGAAAAUGCAGAUUAGAAAAUGUAUUGUUUUGGCCUGAUUGCUAUUAAUAGAAUAUGAAAACUCAAGUUCAAAAGAAUGUGUUACCAACCAGGUGCCCUGUUUUUGGUUCGACAGUAAUGAAGAGACCAACACCUUGCAAAUUUCCAUCAGUUCCUAUUCUAAAGCUCUGGUAUUCCUGCAUUCAAGAACCCUCUACAAUAAAUCAUAAACAAAAUCGAAACUUUAGAUGAACCAAAAUGGAACAACACAGCAGACUAGGUACUUUUGAUAUAAAAUGAGGUCAAUGUAGUUUCUAGCAAUUGCAUUCCAAAAUGCCAAGGAAGGAGUUGGAAAUUUAGAAAUAGGAACUUUAUAGAACUGGAAUGACUAGAAUAGCUGCUCAAAUCUUUGAAAUUAUAGCAUGUUAAGAAGGUAUAACAGGGAAGAAGAGAAAAUCAAAGGAACAACCUGGCGAUUAAGAAAUCCAGCGGAUUGUCACUUUUUAUCAUGCCAGGAAUGAUAUUGGAUAUUGGACAUUCAUAUCUUCCGAUGGUUAUUACCUUAGGACUGAUAAUGCGAGUAAAGGGAUCUCCAAGAGAAGAAAGCAUUCCCUUAAUCUUGCCAUAAGCUGCAUCUUCUGACUUAAGAGGAAACAUUUCUACCAUUGUCUGCUGAAGUUUCAAAUCCCAGUCUGCAAAUUGAAACUUCACCAAUUCAGAGAUUACACCGAGUUUCAAAUAGUGCUUGGUAAAUGGGAGAUAAGUCUCUUAAUAGAGUGGAAUAAUCAACAGCUAUCAAGAGCAGAGGACAGGAAGGACUAGCGACAAUCUUAUCAUUUCUUUUUGUUUAUUCAAUCUACCAAGAAAAAUUCCAUUUGCCAAUCAAGUAUUUCUCCUCAAAUUAGACAGUUCUUGACAGUGCCACAUUGCAUGCAAUUACAAGCUUGAAAUUAUUUUGUUUCUCACGGAAAACAUCUGAACUCAAGAACAUGCAUUAAAGAAUUGUGAUUUCAUACCUUGAUGAUUGAAAGUAGGAUCAACAAAGGUUUCCCUAAUCAGACCCCAAGCUUCCACAAGGGUUCUCUGAACUGUAUUUAUCUACCAGUAAAACAAUUCCAUAAUCAGGAAACUCGUAAAACAAAAGUAAAAAUCCAAGUGAAACCAAACCAGGCAACAAAAUACUUAGAAAGAUACAGUUCAAGAACUGAAUUGUUUCAGUAAUUAGUUACCUCCCGCGUGUGAGAAACCGGGAAUGCAAUAGUAAUAGACUGUGCAAAAGCUGGAGAGUCAGAACAACAUAAGGAUACAGCAGCAGCAAACCCAAAAACUCCACCACUGACCCAUCUAAACAAACUGUCUUUUAAUUCAACAGGUGCUUUAUUGUUAUGAUGUGUAUUGGACUUCCUUGUUGCAGGUAAUUUAAGUCCAAAUUUUUUGUUUUUAUCACAAAUUGAGCUAGGAAACCGACUAGGAAAGAAUAACUUUGAAGUGGGUCUUUGAAACGAUUUAGAAAUUAGAGAAGUAGUUGAUGGGUUGAGAUCAAAAUUCGAGCAGAAAGAUUCCAUACUUCUAAGAGGAAAAAAUGAUGAUCUGAGAAAGAAUUCUUGAGUUUGAGCUGUUAGUCUAUUUAAAAGUUGGAGUGGUUAGGCAAAAUUUUGCAUGGACCGUCAUGUCGUGAAUCUGGUUAGGCCUGCUUGGAUCUUUGUUCGUUGAUACUUUGUGGUGAUUAAGUCUGUUGCGUGGGCGAGUGUCUGAGUGGUAAAAAAUGUUCUUCCAAGUGGGCCAAUAGAUAGAUUGGUUCAUAUUAUGUGAUUCUUAAGCAUUUAAAAUUACUAAAAUGAGGAGGAACUCACUUUUUGGUGGGGUUCAAGAAAACAGCCCUCCAACUUUGGUCAAUUUGCACACUGCCCUGUCGCUUUCUCGUUUGCAUUUAAUAUGCCCUUUACUAGACAUGUUUGGCUCGUUCGAGUUUGAAAAGGGUUUUGAUCGAAUGAUACGAAUUUAGCUUCAACACAUUUAUUAUUAGGAUCAUUUACUAGUCGAGCUAAAGAUGGAAUUUGUUUGUAAGCAGAUCAACUAUAUUUGUGAUUAUAAACAUUAGGUAUACAUAUACUAAAUUAUAUAAUAAACAAAUGGAUGCAAUUCCUUUUUUUUAAAAUUUUUUUAGUAGAAGAGGAGUAGGAUUUAAGAAGCAGAGAGAGGGUAGGGGAAUUAGAAUUUAAAAUCUCUACGUAUUAGGAUUUCGACCUUAGUCACUAAGCUAAAAUAAGUGGCUACAAAUCCAUUUGCAAAUAGUUUUGCAAACAUAUACAUUAUAUAUAUACACGCACAUCUGUCCCUAGUUUCUAAUCCUACAAAAUAUGUAUAAAAGUAUGUUGUGAAAAAAAUAUAUACUUCACUAAAUAAAAUGUUCAGAUCCUUCUCCUUCCCUAUUGCUACUCAAAAUCCACGACUUUUUUUGUCUCUUCUAGUCGAUCAUCCUUCCCCUCAAAGCUCAAAUCUAUUUAUCCCAUCAUUCUAAUUCACAAACCCUUUCUUAUAUUCAACUCCCAACGAUCCUUGCAUUGGUAAGUUGGAUUUUAUUUUCCUUUUGUUUUUUACUCUUGUUCUUCUUUACCUCCCAAUUUUGAGCCUCUAUUUUCUUCUUUUUGUUUUCUUUAUCAUGCAUAUGGAGCAAUAAAGCUUCAUUUAUUGUGUCUCUUUUCUAGCUUUUCGUUUUUUUAUUCUUAUGAUAGUUUGCACCUAUGAGCCUUAUAUUUUAAUGUUUUCUUUAUUCUAUUUUUUAAGAGUAUUGAAACAAGGUUAUAAGAACAUCAAUUCUUUCAUAUUUUACAACUAAUAUAACAUUUGUUAAAUGAGUAUUGCAAACUUAAGUUCGAACUCAGCUUGGUCAAGUUUAAAGAGCCAAACUCAACUUUCAACUUGAAUUCCCAUAUAAUGUCAAAGAAUUGAGCUCCAACAGUUACUUGUGCUAGUGUAAUAAUUAAACAAACACAAAUGCUGUGCUCAUAACAUACGGAAAGAGAUUAAAUACUAGGUAAUCAGCUCGUUAGUUGCUCUUUUCCACUUGAAAGAAAGAGAAGCUUUGUAAAGAGAUAAAGAAUUUGGAAAUAAUUGCGACAGGAAUUAAGAUCCCCAAAAUAACAUUCUUCAAUUCAUUAUCUGGUCCUUCAAUUCUUUUGUUUCUCACGAAAAGUAACCCACAAACAUGUUGAAGUGUUAAACAGGCCUAAAAAAGGUUGGGCUUAAGAACAAUAUAGGGGGGUUGGGCUUAGUUAGUUCACAGUCCAUCUGGAUAACUAUUAUAUAUUUGGCAAUAAAAGGUGCAUCGCAUGGGCUUUAAAUUUUAUCUACUAUGUCGCUUUAGAAUUGGCGUUCAACUUGAUAGAAGGACCUAUGGGAUCAAUAUAUCAAUCUCUAGAAUUAUAAUUUACUUGAAGGGAAAAUUGUUCAAAAUAUUUUUCACAUUUCGUCAAAUUAAUCUUUUAAAAUUUUAAUUUUAUAUCCCUUACAAAUUUAAAUUUGUAAAAUUUGGUCCUAAUUUAAUUUUUCGAACCAUUUUAAUUUAUAUGCAUAUACAAUCUAGUUCGGCCAUGGGGUUGUGAAACACAACAACAUAGAUUUUCAAUCAAUUUGCUUUAUUGAGAAGAAGAUUACUAGAGAAUUUGAUGGGAAUUUGUUCUAUGAAAUGUUUAGGUACAUGACAAUGACAUGUUUGGUAGGAGUCCAGACAAAAUGCAUGAAAUUGCGUUGCAACAAGGUGAAUGGGAAAAAAGUGGGUGGGGAGUAUAGCUGUCAAACAAACCUAUUUAAUUAAGUUUACCCAAAUCCGCCCAUGAAUAGAUGGGUAUGGGUAUCUUAAAUUAUUGCAUAUGGGUAUAAAUGGGUUACCCAAUAAUAUCCAUUUAAUAAAUUGAUAUUAUUGGGUAACCUAUCAAACCUAAUUAAUCCAUUUAGAAUUGACUUCUCCCAAACCUCCUCCUUCCUCCACCCAUUUUUUUUUUUUCAAAAUUUUCAUUUUGUCAUGAUGUUAACUACUUUUGUUACAUUAUUAUUAUUAUUUGUUGGUUUUAUUUUAUCAUUUUAUUUUCUCUUAGUUUGUUAACUUACUUAUUUUUCAGCAUUACCAAUUUAUGACAAGUUUUAACCUCUUUUCUUAUUUUUUCAAAAUAAAAAUUUUAAUUUACACACAAAAAAAUGUUAGAGGUUCAAAAUUUUUUGAUUAAGUUUUUAUGUUAACUUUUAUAGUACUUAGUUCAAAUUUUUAUAUUCUUAUUUUUUAAUUAUUAAAUAGUAUGUAAUUUUGCGACAUACAUAAAAUUGAUAAUUAGGUUUAUUGAGCAUUAUAAAUAAAUAUUUAAAACUAAUGAUAAGUGCAAAGGAUGGUAUAAAUUGAUAAUUUAGUUUGCAAAAAUGAAUUUAAAUGAAUUUACAAAAAGUUAAAAUAAAUGGGUUAUAAAUGGGUAAUUGGGUUAUCUAAUUCAUUUUUUGACUUACCCAUUUAUACCCAUCUAAUUAAAUGGGUAUAAAUGGAUUGACUCACUUAUACCUAUUACCCAUUUUACCCAACCCAAACCCACUCAAAUCACCCAUUUUGACACCUUUAAUGGGGAGGGAUGGAUUUGGUGGUAUCAAGGGAGGGAGUGUAAGUGAGAGAUAUUAGAUUCGAGACUUUUCACUUAUAUUUUAAAAAAUAAAUAAAAGAGCAGCUAAAAGAAAAUGUGAAUGAGAAAAGUAGGUGCUCUUGUGGUGUGGAGGUUUAUCCUUGGUAAGCAAGAAACAUUUUAUCUGUUUCAUGUUUAGAUUAUUUACGUUCUAUUUACACUUGGAUGUUUUACUGUUUUAAAGUUACAAGUGAAGAUCGGCAUGAUGUGAAAGUUGAAAAUCUCAGAUGUAGUUCUUGGAUCCAUUUUUCCUUUUAUAAAAGAGACUUUUCGAGAAGCAAUGGAUGUUUACAUUAGGAUAAUGAUGCAAAUUGAUUAUGCAAUGUAUACAAAUCAAAAUUUUCUAACGAAAUUCUAGAGGUAGAGUUGUCAUCACACUAUAUGUAUUUGGUUGUAUAUCUGUGUGCACUGUAAAGAAUUAAUUACCUGUGAUCUUGUCCUCUUUUUUUCCUUUUUUUGGGGGGGGGGGUCCCAAAAAUUAGAUUUCAUCCUGUCACCAUGUCUGAAUUCAUAAAUCACAAGGAGUUUAUCUGGAGAUAAUUUUGUUUAAUGGCCUAUGAAAAAUUAAACUUCAUCAACUUUAUUUGAAAGUUCUGAUGACUGAUUCAAUUGUUCUUUUUGUAUUUAGAUGGAAAAGAGAAGAUCUCCAAAGAGACCAUUGAGGCCAUAGAUAUGAGAAAAACAUGACUAUCACACAUACAAUGUUUACUUGCAAGUUAGAUUCUCUGCAUGGAAAUGAUGCUUAAGAGAGAACUGAUUAACUAUCUUGAUUCUAGAAACAUCAAACUGGCAAUACAAAAUCAACCGAAUUCCAUCCAAAUAACUUGCAUCCCUUAACGAUGAGAUCUCGACAUAAAACUAAGUUUCACUUUUUGCAUCCUUUAAUCAAGUGGAAGGGGCUUGCAUCCUUUAAUCAUGAGGUCUCGAGUUCAAAACCCAUAGGAAUGUAAAAAGACAACGUUGAGAGAGUUUCCCCUUGCAAGAGACUCGACGUGACUUGAACAAAAUUAGUUGCAAACCGUAAAACGAAUGCGGAUACUUAUAUACAAAAUAAAAAAAAAUCAACAGAAUUCCAGCAAUAACCAACAAUUGCAGGCUAUUGGUCAAGAACCUUGUCGUCCUAUAUUCAUGCCAGACAUCAUAGAUGUAAGUGUCUUUGCUUAGUUUCCAUUUUUCCAUCAUGCUGUUCCAGAAAUACACUGCACUUCGUGCACUAUAUUCCUACUGAGGAUUCCUAUAAACAUUUGAAGCAUUGACAAUUUUUUUUUCCCUGUGAAAAGCUUUUUGGAGUAAUGGAGGAGAAAAGUGAAAGAGGAACAAUAGAAAAUUAAAUGCCAAUGAAGGUGCCAAUGAAGAUAGGAUAAGCAUUUGCAACCUUGAAGGAUUAGUACUCAGCCUGAUUGAUGUAGGGGAUGUGGCAAAUAAUAAAAAAAAAUGCACUUGCAACAAGAAAUUACAACAAAUUAGAGGCUUUGCAAUUGUGACCUAACCUAUCUAUAUAUUUGAUGGUGACACUCCUUAGUGUUGCAAUUUUAAGGGUUUAUAAUAAUAAAUCCCCUUAAUUUCAUCUUGGUAUUCAUUUCCUCCCUCUAUGUCAUUUUCUCAUGACUUGAGUUUCUUCUACUGCCCACAAAUAUAAGAAUUUCAAUAAAAAAAAAGCCUUAGUGGUUCAAAACAUAUUGAUUGCAAUCAAGAAAUUUCUCCAGAAACCUUAGUAAAAUAAAAUAAAGGGAUCCCCAAAUACAAUGAAUUGUAGAAAGCUACUUUUUUUUAACUAAAUUUUUAGUAAACCUAAGUAAUUUAAUUAACCCCAAAAGUAAUGAUAACAAAAUGUAUGCUUUAAUAAAAUUUGUUAAAAGAGCAUUUCUAUAUUUUUUGUCAAUUAAACUAGUCAAUUUUUAGUACUUGACAUGAAAAGUGCCAUACCAUACUCAACUCAAUUUUGCUCUCAACUAUACGGCCAGAUGCCAAUCUCUUGUACCAAAACUACAAUUGAUUAAGGUGAUUGCUUUAAUAUGUAUGUUAUUGUGGAAAAAUUCAAUGCAAUAGACAUGAACACUUCUAAUCUUGAAGAAAUAGUUCUACUAUUUGAUUGUACGCUAGUUUUAAUAAGAAACACCUCAAACAGUUCAAAAAGACAAGGCCAAAUGCUCUCUCUAAAGUCUGCAGAAUAGUUUACUAAGUUCAAUCUUAAACUUGUUUCAAUCAUCAUUUUUCUCCGUGGAACAAGGAACUAAAAUGUUUCGAGUGACCAAGAAAGUGAAGAAUUGCAAGAUUGAUCUCCUAAAAUGGAAAAACACUUUCCAGGCAAACUCCAAAGUAAGAAUCAAUGACAUUAAGAGUAGGUUAGAGAGGUUGAAUGUGUCAAAUGUGGAGAACAAAAGGAUGAUCAGAUUUGACCUUAAGGAACAGAUCAAAGAGGCAUAUAAAGAGGAGGAAUCUUUUCGGAGCCAAAAAGCUAGAGUGAACUGGCUAAGAGAGGGAGACAAGAACACUAGUUUUUUUCAUGCUCAUGUGAGAGGGAGGAGAAACAGGAAUAGAAUCUGUAAUGUUCAAAGAGAGGAUGGUACUUGGACAAAAAAUGAUGAAAAUCUAAUUUCUGAGAUUUCCAUGUUCUAUAGGAGCCUUUUUACCAGUGGAGGAAAAGAAGAUAACUCAGAGGUACUAAGGGAUAUCCCACACUCUAUUACUGAGGAAAUGAACUCCAAAUUGACAAAACCAGUGCAUGAGGAGGAAAUCAGGACUGCUAUUUUUUCCAUGAAUCCAGAUAAAGCCCCUGGAAUGGAUGGAAUGACUCCACUGUUCUUCCAAAAAUUCUGGAAAGUGAUUAAAAAUGAUGUGGUUCAAGCUGUCCAAGAUUUCUUUGUAACUGGCUGCAUGCUUAAAUCUAUUAACCAUACAGUUAUCUCCCUCAUUCCAAAAAUUCUGAAUCCAAUUAGGUUGAAAAACUAUACACCAAUCAGUCUGUGUAGUGUCUUGUAUAAAAUCAUAUAAAAAAUUUUGGCAAACAAACUGAAACCUGUUCUUGACAAGUGCAUUUGUAAAAUCAAUCUGCCUUCAUACCAAAUAGACAAAUCUUAGAUAAUGUGAUCAUUGCUUAGGAAUAUAUGCAAUAUCUGAAAAACAAAAGGCAAGGGAAAGAAAAGUAUAUGGCUAUCAAGCUAGACAUGGCUAAAACUUAUGAUAGAGUUGAAUGGCAUUUUAUUAGAGACAUGAUGACAAGAAUGGGGUUCUGUGAUAAAUGGGUAAGUUGGAUAUCAAGAUGCCUGAAGACUGUCUCUUACUCUUUCAAUUGCAAUGGGGAAGUCAAAGGCUUUGUAAAGCCAGGAAGAGGAAUAAGGCAGGGAGACCCCCUCUCACCUUACCUGUUUUUGAUCUGCUCAGAAGGCUUCUCAAAUCUACUCCAAAGAUCAACAGAAAGCAAAAAUCUGAAAGGCUUGAAGAUCAGUAGACAAGGUCCAAGCAUAACUCACCUCUUUUUUGCGGAUGAUUCUCUUAUAUUCUGUAGAGCUAAUGUGCAACAAGCUAAGGAACUCAUGAAAAUUCUCCAAGAUUAUGAGCAGGCCUCAGGACAGCUAAUCAAUCUGGAGAAAUCAUCAGUGUUUUUUAGCAAAAAUUUGACAUGCAGACAGAAACAGGAGAUUUGCAGUGCUUUAGGAGGAAUGGCAGAAGUGAAGCAAGGGAAAUAUCUUGGUCUUCCUAUGGUUAUUUCAAGAACAAAGGAGCAGAUUUUUGGCUAUAUAAGAGAUAAUAUAAAGAUGAGGCUGGAAAGUUGAAAGAAUAAAUUGCUAAGUCCUGCUGGAAAGGAAGUCACGCUCAAAGCAGUCACAAUGGCUAUGCCAACCUAUGUUAUGUCUUGUUUCAACCUGCCUAGGAAACUCCUCAAGGAUAUCAACUCAGCUAUGGCCAACUAUUGGUGGGGGGAAACUAAUGGCAAAAAUAAAAUGCACUGGAUAUCUUGGAGGAGAAUGGCUUAGGAUCGACAGGAAGGUGGCUUGGGAUUUAAGGAUCUAGAAGUUUUCAACAAAACUCUACUAGGAAAACAGGUUUGGAGAUUAAUCACCAAACCAAACCUCCUAGUCAGCAAAGUAUUGAAAGCCAAGUAUUUUUCGAAAGAACCAAUUUUUACUUGUAAAGUUCAGAGUAAUGCGUCUUGAUUUUGGAAAGGACUGAUAGAAGUCAGAGGGAUUGUGGAAGAAGGAAUAAGGAGGAGAAUUGGCAAUUGGAGAGGCACAAACAUAUAGGAGCAUAAAUGGAUACCAACUUUUCCAUUAGGUCUGCCUACAACUCCAAGACCCCCAAACUGUGAGCUUGUUUUUGCAUAUCAGCUAAUCAACCAAAGUAGAUGGAACACAAAUGUAAUAUUCAGAUUGUUCAACAGGACUGAUGCAGAGAAGAUUCUCAGUAUUCCAAUUAGUCUUGCAGGUAGAACAGAUUCCAACUACUGGAAACACAGUGAAGGAGGCGAGUAUACGUGAGAUCUGGUUACAAAAGGUUCUUAGAUGAGAGAUCAGGCAGCGAUAAAGGACAGGAAUCUGUUGGAACUAGUUUUGAUGCAGGUAAUCAUCAAAGCAAGCAAACUUGGAAUACACUGUGAAAGCUCAACAUCAAACACAAAAUUAAGGUGUUUAUCUAGAAGUGUAUUAAUGGAGUGCUACCAGCCAGAGAGGCAAUCCACAGGAAAACUGCAAUUGGGGAUCCAGUGUGCAAGGGAUGCGGAGAGGAGCCAGAAACGAUAGAACACAUACUUUUGCAAUGCCCUUUAGCAAACGAUGUCUGGAAAGUAGCUCCAGUUAUGUGGGAUGGAGCAAAAAACCAGAGAUGCAACUUCACAAGGUGGUGGCGCAGGAUCACAGAAGCUAAAACAAGGCAAGAGGGUAACAGCCAUAUUGGUCUUACUGCAAACAUCUUAUGGCACAUUUGGAAAGAAAGGAACAAGAGGGAAUUUGAGAACCAAGGUAGACGCCAAUCAUGCUGUGUUAUUCAAAAAGCACAUAAAGAAUGGUUGGAGAUGGAGAAAGUAAAUAGGAAGGAACCUGAUCAGAGUAUAACAGAAACAAUGCCAGACCUAGAGGGGGAACAUGAGGUACAAGAGGACCAGGAUUUGAUAAGGCUGAGAGUGACAACAACGAGCUUAUUGAGAUCUGCUUUGUUGGGUAUUGGAGUUGCUAUCAACACAAUGUCACAUGAUGCAACAGAAUUCUGGGCAUUAAAGGACAGAAGCUACGGAAACAAGAAUACGGAUGUAGCUUUAGCAGUCAGACUAGUCUUGUGCAAAACGCUGAAAAAAGGAUGGUGCAAUGUCCAAAUACAACUCCAAAACAAGGAAGUGCUAAGACAAAUCAAGCAUGGUAAAUCAUCGGAUGACAGACUUGUGACGCCCCCACUUCUCCCUAAGGCGAACUAAAGGGUAUCCGCGGGACGCCUGCCCAACUCUCGCCAGUACUCGAAACAAAUUCAAUUCAAACCUAGUCUAAUACUAACAACGAAAGUCGGAAUAAAGGUAGGAAAUCAUUUCCAUACAUAAUUAUCCAGUCUUACAUCACAAUUUCAAAUUUACAAACACUUUUCCCAAAAAUAUACAACAUCCAAAAGUGUCUAGUCAAUUACAAUCAAAACACUAAUACAAAAGUGCCUCAAGUCGGCAUUUGCUUAACUCCUUCCAAUCGGGUUCCUGUUAAGAAAAAUAAACUAAUGGAAUGAGCCAAUACUCAGUGAGACCAAGAAACACACAUGCAAACACAUAACCCAAGUAGCAACAACAAUUACAUUGUAGAUGAAGCUAUCAAAUUCGAAUAAUUCACACUUCGAAUAGGAAAAUAAACGAAAACAAUUCAAGGAUACUGUAGCUCUCAGGAGCUAAAUUCCACGUAGUCGAGUCAAAGUCUUAAUCGCAGCUCAUGUUGACACUCCGUCAACCACAUAAGUAUCAAAUCCGUAGAUACACCACUUUUCUUCGAAUUUCGUCACCGUUACACUCCCUUACCGGGCCCGCUCAUCAAAGUUUUGAUAAUAUUCGAGUAUAUCAUGGCAAUACUGCGCGAGUAAUGCCGAACAAGAUCUCUCCAAUAGAUCAUACUCUACGAAUAUCUCAUGGUUUGCUAAGCUUAUCGACCAAACCCAUACUGGCUCGAAUCGCAAAGUUAAUCAACGAGUUUGGGAGUCCCCCGAAUACGAAUACGAAUAUAAGUCAAUAAGCAACACUCAAAUCGACGAUUCCAAAUAGGAAUCACAUAUACGAAUCCAUCCACAUUACUAUGUACAAGUCGAAUAUGAAUUCACAUAGCAAAAUACGAAUAUAAUUUCGUUCGAAAGGGAACGAGUGCGAUAAAGUACAUACUCGUCUCAAAAUUUCAAAUUCACAUAACGAAUAAGAAAUAGUUAAUCACUUAGCAACAAAUUCAUGCACUUGACACUUACCAAUCAAAAUAAGAGAGUGAGUGCGUAAAGAAGCCUUUAGGUGUUCCCUUCGAGAUCCUCACGAAGGUCUCCUUGAGCACCUGAGCAAACAAUAGUUAUCUAUUACACACCAUCACUUGAAAAUCCUUUCUUAUCAAGAGAGGGAUUGUACACUUGUACAAUCUAGAAAAUACCAUGGAAUGGGGCUUUACUUGCUCAAAAUUCAAGGUUCUAAAGUAGUAUUUAUUAACACAAGAAAAAACUGAUUUUCUUCAUGAAGACAAGUUCAAAAUGGUCAAUUAAUAUUGAAGGAUAGGGAAGAGUUUCAAAAACUCAAUUCCCGUCAAGUUUGAAAAUUUUCGAUUUGAGGUUCAAUUUUUGAAAAAUCGUAUCUCACUCUUCGUAUGUCCAAAAUUGGAAAACUUGAUACCGUUAGAAACUAAUUUCAAAGUACUAAAAGUUCCUAGAUGACAUUUUUUCAAGAUUCCAAAUGGAUAACAUUCAAAAUUCGGUUCAAAGUUGCUAUUUUGGACCAUUGAGACAGUUUCUGGGUUGAUUUUUGGCCAAUUUUAAAAAUUUGAAAAAAUUCACACAAUGUAAACUAACCUUUGAAAUUUGCAACUCAAUUAGAGUUACAAAUAAAGUUCAAAACAAAAUAAGCGGGACAAGAAUUGAAAUUUUGAGCACUAAGAUAUAGCGGUUCAAAGUUACUGAAAAAGUGAGACCGUUAGGCCAAAUUCCAGAUUUAAUUCACGAAAGUUGGGACUUUGAUUGAACAUCGAAACGGACUCGGAAUGGCACCAAGUUUAGUAGUAUUAUCCUACCAUAUAAGGGCUAUUCCUCUACCAAAUUUCAUAGGAAAAUUCAUUCAGAAAUUUGGUUAACAAAACCUUCAAAGUUUCUAAAUCUCCAAGACAAAGCUGCCUUGCACCUCUAGUUUUCUUUUUCUCAAACCUUUGGCCAAUAAAAUGCCUAAAACAUGUCUCAUUUAUGAUAACCAGGUCUAAUAAGGAUCAAGAUACAUUUGGUAGGUGAUUUACACCAAGAAUUUCGAAUAGAAAGUCUCAAAUCAAGAUUGGUUACAAAUCUGUCCAACAUGAGGGUUUUCUCCCACAAAGUCAGUUUCGAAAUCUGGUCGUAAAUAACUCAAUUCAACUCAGAAUUGAGCGUGGUUGGUGGCGUUGAAAACUAGAUUCAUUAUGCUAAAAUUUCCUAGAAGAAACCAUUUUCAAAAUAUAUCCACAACCAGCUCAUAUGUGAGCAUCAAUUUGCUGCUCAAAACAGAGCUCCCAGUGUAGACGUGAAACAGGACUAUCAUGUUCAAACGAUUGGUAUGGACGACUCAGAUGGAACCAGAAUGUGCAUUUAUACUGUUAGAAAGUUGGAAAUGUCUAGUUUCCAGUGCCGUAAAUGGCACUCAAUUUUGACAUCGGGGCAAAAAGUUAUAGCCAAAACAAGAACACUGCCAGAGCAGUUAUGGGAAAAAUUUUCAGUUUUGCUGAUUUCCGAAAACACAACAUUUGACCAACCAAAUCACGUUAUUUUUUGUUGAAACUUUGUACACAAUUUAUACUACAUAUAUACAUCAUAAACAAGUCAUUAGAACCACGAAAAAUCACCCUAUGGGUCAUGGAAAACACAGGGGCAGAAAUGAAAAAAUUUCUCUCUUCACAUCCUUUGAGUUUCCACAAACAACACAACAUUAUUUCACUAAAUUAAGCACUAGACCAACAUUAAUAACACCAUAAUUCAUCAAAUCAGUCCAUCCAACCAUAGUGGGAAUUCAUAGAAUCCACACAAUAUUUUCCAACAUAAAUAAGACUACCCACAUGUAUGCAGUUUAUAAAUGCUAUAUUACUUCCAUAAGACAAGAUUUGAGUAGUGGAUCAUCACUUACUUCCUUAGAUGAACCAAGCAGAAAUUUUUGGUUCUAAGAUGCUCAAGAAAACCGUGGAAAGUAGCCCUCUUUCCUAACUUGAUGUGGUCUCCAAGUGAUUAACUAAGUCUGGUUAAAUUUUGGUGUGAUUUGGUGGAAGAUUUGAUGAAGAAAUGAGGAAGAAAUUGGAAGAGCUUCUUGGUUCUUUUUCUUUCUUGAUGGCCGGCUGUUUGGAGCAAGAGAGAGAGAGUGUUUGAUGCAAAUGAAGCUUCCAAGAGAAGCUAAGAUGUGUGGCCCAAAAUUAUGCAAAAGUCAACUCUCUCCUCGCGCGCGUUUUGUGCUCGAUUUCUCUCGAGUUUGUUUCACUAGUGUACUAAACUUCUAAUGCACUUGUAUUCAUGCUAUUAUUAUUCACUCUUAAUGGUAUAAAAAUAAUGGUUUUAAGUCCCUCAAUUUAAUCGCGCGCAUAAAAAAGCGUACUUCCGACGCGAUAAAGCGAAAUCUCCAAGAAAUUCUUAUAACGAUUAUAUCACUAACUAAUAAUUGAACAUUUAAAUAUAAAAAUACAUAUUUCAAGAUUAAUGUACUCUCGGAUCAAACAUAGUCUCGAAAAAUGUGUACUCCUUAUUUCUCGCUAAACGAGCUCUAGAAAAAUUAAUUUUACUAACGAGGCGUGUUAAAAAUAUAAUUGAGACAUUAUUCCAUGUAAAUAAGUUUAAAGUAGUUGAAAUAAAUUAUUCUGAGAAAAUGAGUGAAUAAAUAUUUAAUAGAGCCAUUAAAAUAAUACAAAAGUAAGAAAAUAAAAAUCUGGGUCCUUACAAGACUGGUAAUGAUCCUAGAGGAUAUUUUUUGCUUAAUGUCGUUGUUUCGAAUGUGCUCUUUUUGCUUAGAUAGUAAUGAUAAUAGUAACACUAUUGCUAAUGUUAGCUCAUAUGCCUUAGGCAUUAUGAUGGAUGAGAAAGGAUCUUUUCCUCUGUGUUGUUGAACACAAGUUGUACAGCUUGACGAGCCGUUGCUCGAAUUGUAAAGUCAUCUUUUAUAUCAAUACAAGUAAUCUAACGUUUUGAGAAAAAAAAAUCAUCAUUUUUCUCCGCAAAAUAUCUCUACAAUAAUAAAGUCUCUAUAGGUGUUAACUUUGUUUGUUUUCAAAUUUUCCUCCAUCUCUGACACACAAAUCCUAUCCAAUCAAAAUUAUCUCCUUUCAAUUCUCAAGUUCUCCUUUAUUAACGAUUUUUUUACUUCCAAUUAUACAUAUUUUUGUAUUAUACAUUUUUAUUACAUAUUACACAAAAUAAUUAUAUUCACUUGUAUUAUUUUUAUGAUUCUUUCAAUUAAAAAUAUUUUUUGACAAGUUACACACGUAUCGAGUGUGCCUUGAUAACUAGUGUAUAUUAAGUUGGUAACGCAAAUAACAGUUAAUAAGAUUUGAAAGAUUUAGAUCCCAUUUGAAUUGCAAUUUUUUAAAGUUUUUAUUAAAAAAAUUUACUAUAACGAUGUGUGAUGUAUAUAAAUUUAAAAAAAAAGAAAAGAUAAUUGAGAAAUUUGUUAACACUAUAUUCCAAAAUUUUUCUACAAAGAAAAAUCACAAUCCAAUUGGGCUCUUAUAUUCGUCCGUCUUUUUUUUUUUUUUAGUUAAAAAGUUGUAAUAUUGUCUAUUAAAUCAAUUAUUUAAAUGAAACACCACAGGAAAUAUAAUUAUAUUAUUACAAUAUACCCAAAACAUUAGUAACCAUACAACUUGUGGAAUUAUAUGGCUGUAUUUAACUUUGGAAAUUGAGAAACCUUCAGCAUUCGGAAGAAUGCUAUGUCUAUAUAGUAAUAAAUAAUUUAUCAGGAAAUUUGGAUUCGUAUGUAUCUAUUAGUAUUAUCAUAUACCGCAACUUUCUUUAUAAAUCCUUACCCAAACGGCUACUAUGUUUGCCGCCACUGGAUUGUCUGCUGAAACAAUUAUUCCCUCAGCUGGGACAACUCUUUUUUUUUCCAAAACGAUAUAUGGUUAUAAUCCUUUUAAAAAAUGUACAAGUACGAGCAAAGGCUCGAUGAAAUUAUAUAAGCGGUCAUCUAAUCAUUAAGAAAAUAAAAAUUCCUCAUCAAAAGUAAUGCCUAUAGCAUAAGUACUAAGCUUAGAGUUUAGAUGAUAAUUAUCAUUUUGAACUUGACAAAAGGAGCACAGGUGAAAUAAAAGUCUAAGUUGAACAAUAUCCUCCACCACAGUUGCUAAUCUGAUAUCCCGAGCUUGUUUGGAUUGAAUAAGGUUGAGCAGCUGCUGAUUCUGCACUUGGAAUUGGACCACUCUGUGUUGCAUUUCAGCAACUUUACACGUUGCCAAUUUUAGAGCUAAUGCUUCAUCCAGCAAGAAAGAUCCUGAACUGGUUUCACGCAUUGCCCCUCAGCUGGGACAGCUCCUCCGGUCCUUUUCCCUAACUCCAAAACGGAAAAAAAAAGGAAAUUUCCAUUCUGGGCUUGGAAAAUUGCUAGUCUUUGAAGCUGUUCAUCAUCUGGUUUGUGGAGUUCCAAGAAAAUGAGAAUCUAAAUUAAGGUUAUUCUUCUGUUUCCCUUUAAUCUAUUCUUCUCUUGUGAUCUAUAGUUUUAAAAAAAAAAAAUUUUUUGAUGGGCUAAUUUGAUAACUAGUGGGAGAAAGUUACAUUUUGUAGUUGUGUUUGAGCUUAUUCGAUGUAGUCAUGGGUUUUCUUGAUGAAUUUUUUGGCAAUCGAGAAGAGGGCUUUUCUCUGUUCUGGCCGAUUCAUAUUCCAGUUGUUUCUUUUUUCCUACUAAUUGCAUCUGAUACCUGGCAAAAUUCGCAUACUGAAUGUAGGAGUGGUUCGAGAUGGAAAAAAAAGGGGGUCUUUUAAGGCCUUCGUGAGAUUGGUUUUAACAACUGCUUGCAGAGACCUGCAACAAUUGAAAAAAAAAGUGUUUGAGCAUAGACAAGAAUAUCUGUGUAUGUCCUGGUUUUGAUUGGUCUAUCAAAGGAUUUUGAUAGGAUCAGUGAUAGUCAAAGUGGAAUUAAUUGAGAGCAAGAACUAGAAUCAGAUGGUAGUAAUCAAUUAAUUAAAGAACUGGAAGCAGGAACCAGUUCUGGAUAUUGAUUAUGUGAAGAAUAGACUGAUCAGAGUGAUCAAUGGUUUUGCUUCUGCAAAUUACACUAUCAGAAAAGAACUGGCUACAAUCAACAUGGCUAAUCCUACCUCAUUAUACGUAGUUACAUAAUACAGCUGUCAGUUAGUUAUGAUGCUACGCUGACUAACUACUUGUGACUGCUGAGCCUCACUAGCUGAGUCAUCUUGACAACUACUAAGCUGUCCAAUCACGUAUCAGAUCAAUCUUAAGCUGAUGAUGAGCUAUACUCCUGAUGAUCAUGGCUUCAUCCACUAGUCUCUGAUUCUCUUACUUCUCUUGAUCAAGUGCAUAUCUAUCAAGGAUUUCUUGUCUUGCUACAUGGUGCUCUUUGGAUCUCUAAUAUCGCUAAUUGUCUUUCGCCUUAACAUUCCAUUAACCUCCCAAACUUAUCCUACUUAGUUUGAAAGUGGUAUCUAGACAUUUUGUUUUCUGUUAAAAGUUAACAUAGGAUGCUUACCAUUUUUUUGGAGCAUGCUAUUUUGCUUUCUAACUUUUAAUUCUGACGAUGAAUACAUCAAGAGUUCUACCUACGUCUAAUGAAAGAAUCAUUGUCUGACAUUUGUCUACUUAUGCACCUUUUCGUAAUUGAUUGUGUUUUCUAGAUAUAAUGUUUUCUUGAGAAUUGAGGAGUUUCUGGUGGACUUUCUCAUCUUUCAAACUAAGUUGUUUGCUUAAUGAGCUCGUUAAUAGUGUUUUGCUCCUGUAGUAUUUUCUUUUUUGGUGCUUAUGUUUGUUGAUAUUAUGACGCUUUUAGACUUGCUGAAUAUCUGGAGUAGCUCUUUAGCAGAGGCUCUGAGCUUUCGGUGAACAUAUGCCACAAUGACUAUUCUGAGUGAUUGAAGUUUAUAUAUUAGCUAAUAUGUUCCUGUUCAAUUUUAAGGUCCAUCAAUAGCAGAACAUCAGGCUGGUUGCUUCCACAAAAGAAGCAUGUGUUAGGUGCUAGGUUUCUUCAUGCAAUAAGUUCUAAAUAUACAUUGUGUAGAAUAAUUGUGCUGAAAAAGUUGUCAUCUCUGUUUGAAGUUGUAUGUGUUUAAGCUAAUGGUUGGAAUACAUGGUUGAAAGGUUGAAAAAAAAAGAUGGACCAUUUAUAGAGAGGCUUAGGUGUUUUCAGUUAACAGUUAUUUGGUGGUUUUUGGGGUUGUCUAGGCACUUUAGGGUUGCAAUUUCUAGUUCAAGAACAUAGACAUCAAUGGUAGAGUUAAAAUUGAGUUAAGACAGUUUAAGAUUGAGACCAUUGCUGGAGCAAAAAUUUUCUUAUUCAAUUGCUACUGAGAAGGAAAAGAAUGGGGAAGCCUAAAUAGACACACGUGAUUUCCUGUUACAUUCAGUUACUUAUUUUCCAGGUUUUCAGCAUGGUCAAGUAAGCUUACUUUGUUUUAUAUACUCUGCAUUCAUUUUGCAUAUCUCCGCCAUCUUUCCUGGAGUUGACUCUGGAAAGCUAAAGACCAUGAAACUGCUUAUGCUAGAUUUUGUCCCUGUUCAAUCUGAAACUGGUUGUAUUAGUUUUGCAAGAUAUGAUCUAGAGGUUAAAAUGGCUGCAGGUGGUGUUGUGCAUGAAAUCCUCAUAAUGCCCAUUUUCAGUGUGGAUAAGCUCUCUACAUGUAUGUUCUUUCAUCUCUCCCUCUUUCUUUAUAGAUGUGUGGAAGCCUCUGGAAAUAUUAGAUCCUCUUACUGAGUCAUAAGUGGUUCAAAUGUAGAGUAACUUCUCUCAGCAUUACAGCUAAAGUAAUAGCUACCAUAUAUCAAAUUUUUGCUCAUUAUGUUUUUGCUUCCGUUAAAGGGAAUGUUAAAAUUGAUAUAGUGAAGCAAACUAGAGAGUUGCUGGAGAGCAGUCUCAGACUCUUACAGGGUUGUGUUUAGAUUCAGGAUCCUUUCAUAGUUUGUAUUAUUAUUAUUUGUUUACUAGCCCGUGAGCAUACCAAGUAAGGAUUUUCUCAACUAUAGGUAACUAACCAGUCAAGCACUCAAAAUGUCAUAUGUUAACCCCAACAUAAUGCUUGAGCUCAAACUAAUAUUCUCUGCAUCCAAAUUGACAACAAAAGCAAGAUGGUUCAACCAUCAAACUCAGAUAUGAGAUCAAACUUGGGGCUUAUAUGAGCAUAAACAAAAGAGACUAGAGGUAACUUCUCACUUAUUGGUCCUCACUCGACUUGCUUAUCCAAUGAAGGAAGUUUUGCACAUUUAUAGAAUUUAAAGUAUUGCAAAACUCAUAAUAGUGGCUGGUCAAUGUUGUAGCUUGUUCUACGUUAAGACUAUCGUUCUGAGUAGAUGUAUCUACGUAGUUUUAUAUGACACAUUUGUGAAGAAUUUCCCAGAGACUGAGAGGGAGUGGAGUUAAAGAUGUCUGAUAGUCUGUCUCAAUGAAAUUCUGGCAUCCAAUCUAACUGGUUAAAUUUGUUUUUUUAUCCAGCUCUUGGUAAAUAUGUCAGAAACUUUAUAAUCCGUGUUUAUUGCUUUCAUCUCAAAGUCACAUUCACUUUCUAUGAGAGAGACUUGACGUGCUGUCUUCUUGGCUUUCAUCUGUAAGUCAUAAAACAGCACUCUAUAGGACAGAGCGUUUGCAGCAAUGGAUUUACAAAAAGCUUUAUAUCUAAAUUCCUUGGGCCAACCACUAGGACCAGAGAGUAGUUCUUGAUUCCAUUUCCCUGAUUCCUCUCUUGUUCAUCCUCCAUGUACUACUUUACAAUGAACUUGCUGUAUAGCCAAUUCUUCAAGUCUUGGGGUAAUAAACUUUGUUGUCUACAUUAGAAUUUUCCUCAGGACAGGUGAGGUUGUUAAGUGGAAAGGAAGUCAAUUGAGGGUAGAGUUGGGAAGCUACUAGCUCUAAUCUCAUGUCCAUAUGUCUAUAGGAGUCACUUAUGCCUAAGUUUGGUUUUAUGUGCUGAGCAUGACGGCAUGAAAUCCUCGAACUGUUUUUUUGGUUGGUCGAGAAUCAUUUCUUCUGUUAUGUUCUAGAACCACUUGGAAAAAUUAAGAAUUGGUGUUUUGAAGUGGAAAUGAAAAUUUGGAUAGGUAACAAAAAUGUGGAUUCAAACUAGGACAGGAUUAUAUUAUUUUCCACAAUGUAGUUAAAAUUGUGAUGGGGAUUUACAGGAAAAGAUGAACCUAUUUUAUUUGUUCUUGAAUAUUGAAUACUGCAGCUCACAUAGCAGGCCACAAAAAUUUGGCAGUUCUCUGGUAUCUCUCUGGCUUACUUCACUAAUACUUGCUCACUUACAUGUCGGUCUCGAAAUGAUGCAACUAAUGGUUUUGCUAAAAAAAGACACUUGAUUACUAUAGGCUGUUAACUUUUUCAGAAACAAUUUAUACGUGCCUGCCCAAAAUUGUGUUUCUGAAUAGUUUACUUCUUCUGACAGUCAUGAUGGUCAUUGAGCUAGAUGUUUUUAGAGGGUUUCUAACAUGCUAAGCUAUGAGAAUGAUAUGGUAUUGAGUUCACCCAUUUCACAUAUUAGAGGAGGUUGCUCUCAAAUGUUUCUUGAAAAAUAAAAUGACCCAUUCCUGAUUUCUAUUGAUUGCCUAGGACAUAUUCUUGGAUUUGGGCCCAAGUUCCACCAUGCAUUUUCAUGCUUUUAACUUGCAAUUUGCAAAUCUUGUAAAGCUGAGGUUAGGUAAUGAAUUUAUUGCAAUAACUAUUGAAAGUAGAGAAAAUAUGUGGAAAAGAGACUUCAAGUUACAAUAUUCAGAGAGUAAUGGGAUGCAGAAAACAUGUUUGAGUACUGGUUUAGCCUCUUGCAUUAUGAUAUCUGCUAUGCUUCCAGCUUUGAAAGGUAUUCCCAUUUUCAAGUCAAUGGUACUUAUCCUUCUUCAGAGAUUUUACAAGCCAACUUUUUUUUUUUCAGUUCAUGAAGAACCAAUAUACUCAUUUUACCUUGUCAAGAUUGGGGGAAAACUUACAUCCAUCUGUAAUGCAUUUUGAAUAGUUUGGUGAUCAAAUAUUAUGCGUAAUUUGUUCUAUAAGUAACACUGCAAUUAAUUUGCAUAUGACGAACUUGAUAGAUUAAGUUGUUGAAAGCAUCAGUUUUUUCGUAAGUAUAAUUAGUUUGUGCUUUUCUUUUUCUCUUUCUUUUUUAUUUAAAAUUCUCUAAUUCUUCUUUUUAACUAAAAUGAUAAUUUCAUAAUUAAACAUCACCAAAAUGAAGUUAUUACUCAAAAUCAGACAGUAUUCAAGGAAGUUAUUUUGGACAUCAAAAGAAAUCAAUCAUAGCAGAGGAUAACAAAAUAAAUUCACAUUACAGGAGUAAACAAAAUGAAGCCUCGUUUUAUAAGUGAACAUGUCUUUUUUUUUUUUGUAAUUGUUUUUUGGUAAGUGGGAGGUCUUGAACUAUCAACCAACCCAACCGUCCCCCUCUAUAAGUGAACAUGUCUAGAGACAGAGAACUUGGAAAUGGCUAGGUCUCUAGAAUGUAAUCUUCCCAAAUAGACGAGGCUGCCUUGUCUAUUGAGAUUUUUUUUUUUUUAUGAAUUAAUUAGAGUGAGCUUUACAGUUAGAUCUCUAUAAACAAUCUUUUAGAUAGCUGCUUAGAAUUGUCAUGAUGAGCCUGAGUUUGUGUAUAUCUAAUACAUAUCAGAGAAGGUAGUUUAAAUUUGAUACCCUCAAUGCAACGUUUUACGUUUUGGUGUUGACCCAAUUUUGUUGGAUUCUAAAUAGCUGUGGAUGCUGAAGACUGGUUUUAGCAUGCCUGGAUGCAAAGGUAUAAAAUCGAAGGAUUGCUUUAGCUGUCAUUGUUUUGGUGUAGAAGGCAGGGUGGGAACACAUAAGUUCAAAGGCUUGAGAAAGUGCUGAACCUAGCUGCCUCGGAAAUGAGCGCUUGGCAAAACCACCAUCACAGUGAAGCAUUGGUGUUUUGUUGCAGAUGUCUUCUCUUAGAAUAUGGAGACAAGUAUUACAUGUAUAAAAUCUAGCAUGAACUUUUCACCAUCUGUCUGUACAGUAUCCCUCUUCCACAUGUAGCAUUCACUCUCUGUAAAUAAUACUACUGUUACCUAUUAAGAAAACUCGGAAUCUGGUAAUUGAGCACUCGAGCGAUAGGUCACUUGUGGAAAUUGAAGUUUAAUCAAGAUGUGCAUGUAGAUCAAAUCUUGAAAAAUGUACUUUUCUUUCCCAUUAAGAGUUGUCUCUUAGGUUUCCUCUUUUCUUUUUGCAAAAUUAGGCUUUUUUUUUUUGUGGCUAAAAGUAAAAUCCAGGUUUAUCAUUGUAAGUAGUACAAUUUGUACAAUCUUCUCUGGCUCCUGUUUUUAUCUUCACACUAAAAACUUAUGCAGCACUUUUUGCUGGGGGACAAGUUCCAUUGAAUUCCUCCUGAUUUGCUCUCUUUACUAUUGCUGUAACUCUAAGUUGGUCUUCAUUUUUGGAAAACUGGUUUCUCUUGUGUGGAGAACUCACAUGAAACGUGACGAACAGCUAUAGACAUGUUCAAGGUGACUCUAGAUUUGCGAAACACUUACCUCGGAUUGCUGUCACUUCAUGUUUCUUUCCGUGGGCUUGGUUCUUGUAUGAAUUGAUAGUAUUGGCUAUAGCUCUGUCCUGUGCUAACUUAUAAAGGCUACACCUAAAUUCAGGUUCUUAGUGAAAUACUUCAUCAAGUAAUUUUUAAGUCUUGGUAGAGGUGGGAGGUCAAGGGUUUGAUCCUUGCCUCCUAUCAGCCACUAUUUGUGGCUUCUCCCUCCCUCUUUCCUUAGAUUAGGUUAGAAUGGGUUAUACAAACAGUUUUCGUUGUUGGCAAAAAAAAAGAAGUAAUUUUUAGGUUCUUAAUGCAAUCAUUUUUUCUAAAAAAUUAAAUGAUAAAUAGGGCGAGGCGGUUAUCCAUUGAUCCGACCCUAUCUUAGCGGGUACCCUAUAAUCGGGUUUCCGUUGAUAUGCAGGGCAGAUAAGAAUCAGAAAAUGGUUGAUCCGUAAAGUGCGAGUCGGAUCAGUCAAAUGAUGGACGGGGCGGGUACUCGACCCGCUCCCAUUCCUGCUAGCUAAGUAGCUGCUAUAAAAGACAGUACUUGGAUUGCAUAGUUUUGAAAUAAAAUAAUUUACUUCACAAAUUUCGAUUACCUUUUUAUCUUUCUAAUCACUUUUUUAUCUCACAUACAUCACAUCACAAAAAGUACUACAGUAAUUAUCUCAAAUAAAUCAUCCAAAUAAACUCCAAUCCAAACAAACUGUAUAAUCCUGUGGAUUCUAAUAAGUAGUACCCCUCUCCAGAAAGGACCAAAAGAGUUACCACAGAGAAAAAGAGAUAGCCCUGGCCCUCUUACUGAAGAGGGAUACAUCAGCAUAUUUGGGCUUUAACUGAACCAAAAGCGUUUUCACACACUGUGUAGUUUUCUAGGCAUUCACUACAUACUAGAUAAUGCUGUGGUGUUACCCAUACCCCAGUUUUGUACUUUCAUCAUGAAUGGUCUUUUACAAGUGGAGCAACUUCAAAUUCUUCUUCCCUUAAGGUCACAACCAUUUGCAAUGGAACAAACUGAAGGUUCAGGAGAGAAAAAAUGUGAACCAUUGAAGUUCUAAUGAUCCUUAACAAGAUCAUAAAGUUCUUCUUGAAUGUGUCGUCUAAUUGGCUUACACAAUAAGGUUUAUGAACAGAAGGGAUAGCUGGUUCUUGGAUUUUUCAACAAUCACUAAUUUUCCAAGAACAUGAAAAAAAAAAAGAAUAGUAUGACCACAGAGUUUUUGUGUAUUUAUUUAUUUUUUAUUUGAACGAGUGAGAUUUUAUUAGUACAUAAAAUGAAAUACUACCAAGUAUAAGUGGCGGCAUACCCCUGGCACCGACAAGAAACGAGAAGGCAAAAUUGCAUUACUGAUAGACUUAUCAACGAAAGACCCUAUACAAGUCUAGGACAAACUUAUCAACAAACCUAGGAAAGUCAAAAUGGAUUAAUUAAUGGAUCAUUGAUGAGGGUUCAUAUUAAAUGUUUGGCGGAUAAUAUUAACCCAACCCACUUUAGAUUCAUUAAGCUCUCACUUAAUUUUCCCAAAAUCAUUCUCGUACUACUACUAGGUGAAUAGCUAAUUGAGAUCUUUACUUGUAAAACUCGUUUAAUUUUUUAUUUUUUGAACUCUUUUUUUUUAGCACCAAAACAAGAAAGAGUUCAAAAACAAAACAAAAAUAAAACGGGUUUUACAGGAUGUGAAUGGCUAGACCUUCCACCAGCAUUAAAAUCACCUCCGGAAAAAGAAUGCUCAUAUCGUUUGAUAACCACGAGGAGUCAUAGCUGAGUUGGAAACUUCUUUUUCAGUACAAAUGAAUGUAUAUGGAUCCACAUGGAUUGUAAAACCACCAUUUUAAUGGGUUAAGUUGGAUAAACCAUUUAGAUCCAAGAUACAUUUUUUCUUCUCAUCCAAAUCCAUUAAAAAUGGAUGGAUCAGGAUGGAUAUAUGGUCUUGGAUUAAAAUUGCCCCAAGGAGUUAUUUUUCUUGGAAGAUUAACAUGACAGUGAUAUCAGGUGCGUGGCUCAUAAUUGGAAGCUUAUAUCUGCCCGCUAGUUCUGGAUGAUGAUGGAGCAAAUUGGCAGGAUGAGCGCUUAGGUCCAUUGAUAACUUCUAUGUGCAAGCAGCAGCAAGCUAGUCAGAUACAACAUGGUAUUACGAACUUCCUGUUCUUCUUUCUUGUCCAUACGAUAGCUGCCUUACUUAUUAUGAUGCUGCAUAACAACAAAAGAAAAUGAUUUUUGCAACAGUCCAUCAAAUUUUGUUCAUCUGCAGUCUCAUUCUCUUUGGUAGAUGGAUAUUCCUGCAAUCCAUGUGGAAUGCAGAAGCUUUUAAGAGAACUAGUUUCCAGCUUGCAGUGAUGUUGACUGCCAGAGAAAAAUCUCACGGGCCUAAGAGUGCGGGUGAGUGCCCUGCUAGAAUGCGACUGUAGGGUCAUUUUCCCGUUAGUUUCUAGGUGAUUUUCUAUCGUCAGUGCCCGGUUAAUUUUUUUUUUUCCACAUUUUUCAGUUUGUUAUAACUGAGCUCCAACAUGCCAUGCCCGGGACAUGGCCAGUGAAAGAUAUUUCUUUACCUGUCUAUUCUUCUUGCCUUUAUUGAGAAAAAGCAGUGCAUUGAGUGCAUUUGCAAAAGCAAAGUUUAGGAAAGGAUUUUGGAAAAGGGAGAGACAAAAGAUACCUUACCUUAAAGCAAAAGAGGGAUAAAAUUUACUGCUGUUAUAAUUUCUCGUGUAGAAGUAGCUGAUUGUAGGAUAUGUUUUGGAUUUUGCUGUCCUCCUUUUACCUCUUAACAGGCUUUAGGGAGUGAUCUUGUCUAUCUAUAGCUAGGUGCCAUUUUUUUCCCUUUGUUUUCUUGAGUUGAUUUUGUAACAAUCGUCGAAAGCAAGAGUAUAGAACUAGCUAUAGUGAACCUCUAUGCUAGACUAAAGUUUCAUUUGCAAACAGACUAUUGCACAUUCUACAACUAAUUGUUCACUUGUGUUGAAUGCUACAUCAAAAUUUAGAACUCACCCUUUCCUCUUCUUUGCUCCUGUCAUCCAUGUAAAAGAAAAUGACAAAGUAAAAGAGGAUAUUUUGAAAGACUAAAAGAGGACUGGUUUUUGAGUGAAGCUUUUCCAAAACUAAAAACUGGCUUGGCAAAGGUGAAAUUGAUGUACCAUAUAGAGACUGCCUCAAAUAUGACACUGACAUUGACAUAUACGGAUGAAGUUAGAAGUUGAUUGGCAUCCUUAAACUGAUUGGUAUGGGCUUUAAAAAGGACGUUGUGGCUCAUGAAGAAGACCAAAUUGAAUCCCAACUGAAAACCUUUAAUUACUUUUUAGCUUAUAAUAGGCUUUUAUUUCAAGUUUGAAAAGGAAAUAGAAACUAAAGCAUGCUCACUGGAACUGGCCCCUUGUGCAUUAAAAACGUUAUGCUGAUGUUUAUCAUGUUAACAAACUCGUACUAGUUGUCAUGUCGGUUUAAUAGUUUGCAUUACCCUUUAGGUUGUAGGAUUAAGGGAUUUCUACUCUUUAGGGUGUUUAAUGAUUGGAGGAAAACAAUGGGAAAAUGAAUUUUGAGAGUUGGAAAUUAUCAAACGGAUGUCUGAGGAUACAGACAAUCAAAUUUCUGGACAAGACUAGACAGGCACCAACAAAUAAUUUUUUUCCUAAUCUUGGUGAUAAACGUUGCUCAUUAAUGUUGAUCAAUCAAUAAUUAUCUCCACACACGGGCAGUAACUGCAUACUUUAUCAUUGAUUCAACUAUCGUUGAAAAAGCUAAAGAUUUUUUUUUUUUUGUGUGUGUUUCUUUUACAUGUAUUAUUAACUGAAGUAAAGUUGCUAAGGCGCAAUCCCAUUAUACCCAAGUACUUAGGUAUCACGGAUGUUCCAAGAAAUCAUGAAGAACUUGCUAGUCCUUCCUGAUCGAUCCCAAGUAAGUCGAGGCUAUGAAUCUCCAAAAAGCUUUUUUUUUCUUUCUUUUUGGCAAAAUGGGGCUUACUUGAUUGGAUAUACUAGAGUUAAUUCUGCAUAAUAUUUAUCAAGCCUUUUCAAUAAAAAAGAAAUGAUUUGUUGUUUUCUUCUCCUUUUCUCACCAUCUGUUUUUGGCAUUCGCAAUUUCUCUAGGAGCAAAGUAGGUCCUUGCCAACAAUAUUCGAAGACAGCGCGGUAUGGGAAUAUGAUUGGCAGAUUUCUACAUCACAGUAGCAGCAGCACUGCAUGCAUCGAUGCAACCGUGCACUAGAUACAAUCACUUGUAUGCCAUGUCUAACCAGAUUUGGCACAAUAAUUAUUUCUCUGUCAAAGUAUGGAGAUCUGUAUCUCAGUUUGAUCAAGCAAAAUGGGAAACAUGAUAAAUUUUUUCUUUUUCAAAUGAACCAAAAUGAAUGGGCUUAAAUGGUUCAUGAAGAUUUUCUAAAGUUUGAGUUGGAUAUGCCUGUCCUCAUGGAUUGCCUACACUUUUUACCAUAAUUGGGGACUGAAAUAAGGAAAAAAUAUCCACCGUGAGAAUAGAGAUCAAGUAAAAUCACGUUUCCAAACUCUAAAAGCGCUAACAAUGGCAGAAAACCAAUGCUUUAGCAACAAAUACUUCUCUCUAUCUAAUAUAUGUUUAAGAAUUUUAGUAGCAUCAAGACACGGUAAUAUUAAAAGUUAAGGACAAGAACAAGGAUAUUGCGUGAGUUUCUGAAGCAUAGGAGGUAAAGAUGUCUAAAAUUUAGGAAUAAGGAGAUAAAAAUAGCCAUAGGUUUGAAAGAAUAGUCAAUAAGGAUAGCCUCCAACUUUUAGUCACAGUGUCUCUGUAACUUCCCAUUUUUCAUUUGUUUUAAAGGUAAAUCUCACUUUGCACCUUUCUAUAUACCUGAAUUUUCACUUUGAAUCCUAAUAUUGAAACUGAAUUGCUUUACUCCCUCGAAUAUAAAAUAUGUUCUACUUAAAUAAAAUCUGUCCCAUUUUAGUUUUUAAAGUAUAAAUUUUUUCCCACUCAAGUAUACAAUUUGUCACACUUUAGAGACUAAAGUAUAAAAAAAAUUGAUAUUUUAAGGAUUAAGGUGGAAUAGAUUUUAUUUAAGUAAGAUAGACUUUAGAGACUACAGUGUCCAGUUUAAAGUUUAGAGAUCAAAGUAAAAGUCUAAAUAUAAUUCAAAGAUGCAAAGUUGUUAGCACAAAAAAUCGUGCAGCGGAAUUAACAUUAAAAUCUUACAAAUAAUAAACAAUAAAAAGGGCACGGGAGGAAGAAAAAUAUUCUGCUUCAAUUCAUUAAUUUCCUUGAACUACAAACCUAGGACUCCAAGUGCUUAAAUAAAGAAAUAUAACCACAAAUUCUAUUCUAAUGAUAAUAUUAAAAUAUGACAACUCUGUUUCUCAAACCAAAUAUGACUUAACUCUAUAGCAGUAUAGCUCACACGUAACUCUAAUUUAAUUGUUAUCUCCAACUUCACCGAUAGGAGUAGGACAUGCUUUUACUUUGCACACAAUUCGACAGCCAAUUUCGCUUCAUCAAAAAAUUCAUCCAUAUUGACCCAUUCACUAUUAGAGUCUUCAUAUUUUCUUGGAUAAUAAUAAUUCACACUAUUUUCAACCAAUAAAUCAUGGCUUCCAUAAUAUUCUUUAUGGUAAUAAUUUUCAUUGUAAAAAUUUUCAAUAGAUUCAAUCACCUCAAAAAUAUUGUCAUGCACAUCUUCAUUCAAAUCAAAACUUUCAUGACAGGUGCCGAACCUGUGCAAUAAUAAUAAAUAAAUAGAUAAAUCCUAACUACCACCUGAAACAGUCAGUAAUCAAUUCGAGUACUAGAGCAGGGACUCUAGGUGUGCAAUAGGUUACUUGAUUCACCCUGUUCCCGAAGAGUUUGCUUAAUCCGAUAUACCUGAAUUAAUUAUUUAACUGAAUUCCCUAACUGAAUUCCCUAACUAAAAUGCACCCACUAAAAUAUUGUCAUGCACAUCUUCAUUCAAAUCAAAACUUUCACUAACAAUUUCUUUUUGCCCUUCGUCUACAAUCAAAUUAAUGCAUUCACUAACAAAUUCUUCUUCAUCAAUCACCCAAACAAAGUAUGCAAAUCAUAAUUUUCAAUCGUAUAAAAAAUGUCAAAAAUCUCUUUGUCAUCAACAAACACAUCCUCUUCCAAAUUAACUUCCCAUUUCAAACCAAUUUUUUACUUAUGAUUAGAUUCAUAUGGAAAUUCUAUCACCAAAAUAUAAAAGAGAUCUGACUUAAACUAUUGAAAUGAUUGAGAAAAGAUGAUAAGUCUUUUGUAAUACUCUUCAACCAUUGAUUUUCGCAUUAUUUUGAAAAAUAAUUUGGCCUUCCUUCUCUUAAUUUCUUUUGAUGGACCACUAUUUAAAUUGAUCUCAAGAAAUUCACCCAAACAACACUUUUUAAGAUAUUUGUGUAUUAUUCUUGACCAUUCAGAUCUUUCUUUAUCACUGCUAAGUGUGCAUAAAAUUUAAAAUUUUUCAUCAUUGGUAAAUUCUCUCUCCAUAACAAUUCAAAACAAUUUACUUACCUUCACAAAUAUUUUUUUUUCCUUGCUUGAAUUUCUUAGCCUCUCUGGCUUUAGAUUUGAUCAAAUACCACUGUGAUAAUCAACAAUUUGAUAGGACUUUUUUUUUUUUUUUCUGAUUACUGCACAAUACCAACAAUGUCAACAGAGUCCUCUUUUUAGACCUCUGUCCAAUUAGAUUCACUUUUCCCCAAUUCCAAUCAAUGAAUGAAUACACUAAGACCAACUCUCGUGACUCAAUUUUUUUAAUAUACGAGUACUCUACCACAAUUUCUGUACCCUUGUAUGGCACAGAUUUCUCCAUCAAAAACUUUGCACACCCUUCAGACGCCAUAGAUACCCCAAGAUCAAACUCUUAAAAUUAGGGUUAUGAUACCACAUGUUAGUACAAAAAAUCACGCAACGGAAGUAACAUUAGAAUCUUACAAAUAAUAAACAAUAAGAAAAGCACAUGAGAUAAUAAAAUAUUUUGGUUCAAUUCAUGAAUUUUUCUCAACUACAAACCUAGGAUUCCAAGUGCUUAAAUAGAGAAAUAUUACCACAAAUCCUAUUUUAAUUAUAAUACCAAAAUAUAACUCAACUCUGUUUUCUAAACCAACUAUAAUACCAAAUUUAAUAUACUUACCAAAUAACAAAUCAGUUUUUAAAACUACUAAAAUUCCAAAUAUUCAUGGUUUAAAAUAUGUCAACAAAAGUGAAAUUAAUCCUAUGUUUAAUUAUGAUUUUAUCUAACAGAUAAUCGAAUUAGUUUUCAACGAACGGUCGAGUCACGUCAAAUAAGAGGGCAAGAGAAAUGAAUAAUCCCCCCAAGAAAGCCUCUUAUGGAACUAGCACUAGAACUGAGGGUCCAACAAGUGAAUUCUUACGCGCCAAAAACAAACCUUUACAGCCUCUUAUAAAUGCUUGCCUUCCCCAUUACUUAAUCAAAAGCCAAAUUGUACGAAAUUCAAUGUACAGGAGAGCUAACUCUAAAUAGUAAAUGUGGAAAUAAGCAGUUGAUGUAGGACCUAUCUAUGUUGCUUCAGGCAAGAUGGCCCUUAUUCUCUUUGUCUGUAGACUUCAACCAGCUUUUAGAUCCCGGUAUGGUGGCUUUUGGGAUUUUGCCACAGAUUUAGAGGGGAAAAAAAAAGAAAACAAAAUCAAGAAAUAUACGGGAAUAAAGAAGUAUUAUUUGGAUUAUAACUUUUUUAGGAAAAAUUUUUGGGAAAAUGACCGGUUUCAUCCCUCACAUUUCACAAAAUUAUUCUUUUCAUUCCUUACUUUUAAAAUGAAGCAAUUUCAUCAUUGAUAUUUAAAAACAGAAGUUAUUACGUCCCUAAACCCAAUUUUCAAUAUGAAUCAAGCCAUCUAUCAACCUAAUUACAAAUUUUGGGGGUAUAAUUGGUCAAUCACUUGACUAACUCAACUUGAUAUUCACGUGAAAUUUAAUGAAUCCAAAAAGAAAAAAGAAAAAAUUAUAACAUAAAAAAGAAGAAUUAAUCUUUCCUACAUUGUCAUUGUAUAUACUGACGGGUUUAUGUACUUGCCACAUCAUUUCAAUUUAAAUUUAAACACCAAUUUUGUAUUUAUGAUAUACAUAUAGACUCGCAAGUGUAUAUACUAAUGGUACAUGAAAAGAUUUACCCAAAAAAGAAACCUUAUUAUUCCAAUACAAAGAAUGACCUUUUAUGUUAUACUUUUUAUUUUUUUUUUGGUUCAAUAAAUGUCAUGUGAAUAUGAUGGAGUUGACGGAAUGAUCUAUCAAUUCUAUCUCCGAAAUUUAUUACUGGCUAAUUGGAUGGUUUGAUUCAGAUUGACAAUUAGGUUUAGGGAUGUAAUAGGUUUAAUUUUUAAAUGUUAGGAACGAAAAGAAUAUUUUUGUGAAAUGUAAGGGAUGAAAUAGGUUAUUUUCCCAAAAUUUUUAUAUUUUUUGUGAAUAUAUUUUUUUUAUCAUUUUUUAAUCUUACAUAUAUCAAAUUAUUAUAAUGUAUUUUUUAUAAGAAUUCUUAAAAAUAGCAAUCGAAACAGAACUGUGACCACAAAAUUGAAGUUGGCAAAGCACUGUGCCAUUCGAGCAUAGUACGCUAAUUUUGGUCUGCAUAGUAGAGUAAUAUGUCAAUGUGGAAUGCUUUGCAAUGGACAAUAACUCUUUUUCUUUUGGAAACUAAUAUGUCAAAUACCAAUACGAAAACUCAUGAUAAUAUUUCACUAUCCCCCUAUUUUAUAUCUUUGUGACUUCUUCAAUACUUAUUAAGACAUUUAGGAGCCAAUUUCGGAAGUUGAGAUUAAUGCACUUGUAUUUGAGCUAAUACACAACUUUUAUGGAGUGAACUCUAUAGAAUUCCUAAAAGGGAAAAAAAAGAAGAAAAAGGAACAAUUGACUACAAGGAGAUUGUAAGAAAGAAUGCAAUUGAUAUUACAUGCAAUUUUUUCCCUCAUUACUGUUCUCUUUCAAUUUAUUCUUAUUAAUUUUCUUCGUUUGUCAGACUGUAUACAAAAUUGACCAUAACAUAUAAAAUAGAGCGGAGAAAUUAAUGAGUAGUGUACAGAAAAACAAAAGGCAAAAGAGAGUCUAUGUGAUAAUGUCAUGCACUUUCCUAAAUCGCAAAAGACUUGUUUAUUUGCACUUUAGAUAUGCUUAUCUUUUUCCUUGCAUUCUGAUUGGACUUAGAACUUAGAAGUGAACCCUCCUCUCCAUUAAUUUGGUUUUUAUCUACUUUACCAAGUUUUCAAAAGACUGGAGAUGGUUAAAGUUCUUCGUUUUGCAGGAGUAGUUUGCCUUUAAAGUUGUGAUUCGAUUCUUGUUUUUAACAAACUGCAAUGAUUAUUGGGACCCAUAAUCUUCAAAAAUAUAUUUAGGGAAAAUUUCAGAAACCUCCCUUGAGGUUUUAACAAUUUCAUUUAGCUCCCUCAAGGUUUUAAAAUUACACAUACCUUCCUUAUCAUUUAAAAUGACAAUACUACCCUUAAAUAUUUUAAUCAAAUUCCCUUGUUUGGUAUGCUUAUACUUAGAAUGACUUUUAAAAUUAUUUUUCCUUCUUAUUCCUUUUUUAAAUUUUUUGCCAAUAAAAUUGUAGAACUAGCACUAUUACUUCUAGUUUCUAUUGUAACCAAAUGUCGAAGUAGUUAUUUUUUUUUAUGAGUUAACUUAUAUGUAAUCCAAUGUUUUUGCUAAUCUUUAUUUUCUAUCUUUCGGUAUUAAAAUUAAUAAUACAUAAAAAAGAAAUGGCCCUAAGCCCCUACUAAAUUAUGAUAAUCCCACUACUCGAAAAAAAUUCAUAAACUCUAAAUAAAUUAUUUCAACAUUUUGUUUUCUAUCUUAUAAAUCUAAAUCUAUAAUAAAAUAUUAUCAAAAGUAUCAUAUCAUAGUGAUAAAAUUAUUAUUAUAGUUGUUUAUCAAAUAGUAGGUAUGGACAUGAAAAUUUUGGUACAUUUUCUUUAUAAUUAUAUUAGAUAAUCUUAUAAUUGUAUAGAAAAAUAAAUUAAAACUCAUUACACAAGAGCAUUUUUGGGUAUUUAUUUAAAAAUUUGAUCGAGUCAAUAUUAUUUUAAGGUUUUGUUACUAAAAGGGAAAGUCAUUCAAAACGUCCCUCAUAUUUUGUAAAAUGAUUUUUUUCAUCCCUUACUUUUAAAAGUAUAAUUUUAUGUCCCUUACAAAUUCACAUUGAUUAAAUUUGGUUUCUACCUAGAUUUUCAACUAGUUUUUUAUCGGAAUUCAUCAUGUGCUUUACAUGUGAUCAUUUUUAGGGGCAAAAUUAUCAAAUUAAAAUUUAUAUAAUCCAAUCCAUAACCCCUCACAUUUGAUAAAAUAAUUUUUUUGUCCCUCAUAUUUCACAAAAUGAAUUGUUUCAUCUCUCAUAUUUUACAAAAUAAAAUUUUUCAUCUCUCAUUGAUCAUGUGUACGAAUAAUUUUUUUUAACUCAUGUAUAUAUCUAUUUGAUUUCACCUGAACAAUACGAAUAGUAUCUAAUGUAUAGAUAUUUGAUUUCGUCUGAACGUACUGUUCAGAUGAAAUUAAAUAGAUAUAUACAGGAAAUUAAAAAAAUUAUUAGUUUUUCACUCAUGUUCAUUUCCUUUUAUUCGAAAAUUAAAAAAAAAGAAGAAAAAAUAAACAAAGGAAAAUUGACACUUUCAAAUUUUAAAACAAUCACAAGGCAAGAAAUUCAACUGUUAGUUUUAAAGGUGACGAGUAAAAAUUUCAGAUUUAAACUGUAAUUUAUUAACAUGACUAUAGAAUUCGAUUUAGCACCGAUUAAUUAUAUGGCCUUAUUACACAAUUCAAUAAAUGAAUUAUUAUCAAAAGAGAAUAUGCUAUAAAUAUUGAGUAGAUUCACAUGGUGAAAUCAAAUAAAUAUAUAUAUAUGGGGGUUUAAAACAAAAUUGUUAGAUUUAAAUUCAUGUAUAUAUCUAUUGAAUAGCAUGUAUAUAAUUAUAAUUAGUCUGUUUAUGUGAAAUCAAAUAAAGAUAUAUUACAUACUAUUCGUACUGUUCAGGUAAAAUUAAAUAGAUAUAUACAAGGAUUUAAAAAAAACUUUUCAUACACAUGAUUAAUAAGAAAUAAAAAAUUCAUUUUGUGAAAUAUGAGAGAUGAAAAAAUUCAUUUUAUGAAAUGUGAGGGACAAAAUAAUUCAUUUUGUGAAAUAUAAGGAACUAUAGAUCAGAUUAUGAAAUUUUUGAUUUGAAAAUUUUACCCCUAAAAAUGAUCGCAUGCAAAGUAUGUGAUGAAUUUCGACCAAAAUCUAGUAAAAAAUCUAGAUGGGGACCAAAUUUAAUUAAUGUGAAUUUGUAAGGGACGUAAAAUUACAUUUUUAAAAGUGAAGGAUGAAAAAGUCAUUUUAUAAAAUGUGAUGGACAUUUUGAACGAUUUUUCCUUACUAAAACUAUCAAAUCAAGGGAGGUAGGUAUAAUUUUCCAAACCUGGAGGGAGCUCAGUGAAAUUGUCAGAUACCUCAGAGGAGGUUUCUAAAAUUAUCCCAUCUAUUAAUUUAAGAAAGCAAUGAGUGUGUUUGGAUUGUAAAUUAUUUGAGAUAUUUUUACUAUAGCACUUUUUGUGAUGUGAUGUAUGUGAGAUAAAAAAGUAAUUGGGAAGAUAAAAAAGUAAUUGGGAAGAUAAAAAAGUGUAUUGAAAAUUGUAAUGGUGAUGUAAGCAAAUAUAUUUGGGCAAAUAAUCUGCUGUCCAAAAUGUCUUUGGUCCAAAAAAUAAUGGAAUCAACACAAGAUUAGAUCAAAACCUUGAUUACUAAUUAUUUAGUUAAUAAAGUUCAUAUGCCAUAAUGGUGUUGUUAUUUACAUGAACAUGCAAAAUAACUAUUCCUAAAUAUUCUUCUUAAAAUUUAAAAUUUUCUUAAGGUAAUCCAAGUCUGUGUUACAUCAACCAUUACAAGAAUGACAAAUAAAUCCUAUUCUGAAGGACCGAGGCUAUGGAUGUGAAACGAAUUCGUUUCCAGUCUACAUAAAAUUAAGGCCUUAUGAAAUCUUUAAGUUAUUCCUGUGUUAGAAAAUUUUAUUUGUGUUAGAUAACAAAAUUAGUUCCAAUGACAUCAUUCAUUGGAUGUCAUUAUAAAAUUUAAAUGCAUAUUCUACAUCAAUGGCAUUCAGGAAUAAUUCAAAUUCACGAAAGAAAAUUUCGUAUUUAUAAUUUCCCUAGAAAUCUCUAGUUCAGACGUUGGAUUGAGAUGAUCGUACUAUUGAGGCAUAACAAUAGGAAUUAAGCAUCCCACUUUUUUUCUAUUGCUUCUUGUAACCCAAAAAAAAAAAAAAUUGCUAUUGCUACAAACCUAAAAGCCAUAGCAAGUAACCGUCAGUCAAAAAAUCCUCCUCACAGCUAAGUUCACAUUACGAAACAAUUUUUACUAACCGAGGCCAAACCAUAUAUCAAAAUUUUCAGGAUUUUGAUUUUGAAUAUCUCAUUUUCAUGUUGGGUUUUAUUAUUAAAUCCACAUAUGUCAAAAACUAAUUCAUGCUAUAGUUUCUUUAUUACUUUAUUAAUUUUUUGUAAGCCAUUUUGAAAUUGGAGCAAGAAUGCCUACAUGUGUGUGUGUGUGUAGGACAUGCAAGAACUAAAGAUGUUUCAGUUAAUUAUAUGACACAGCUGAACCUUUUAUUUAUGUGUCCUGACUUUUAGUCUCUCCCCUAAUUUUUGUUCAUGUUUAGGUUAAUUGCACUUUAAAAUGGUUACAGCUUUUUCUUUGAACUAGCAAUUACAUCAUUCCUAUUUUGAAUUUAUUCUACAUAAUCAUCUCAGAAUGCGUCGCAGGAAGAACUUUCAGUUCGGCUUGUUGAUUUUAAGACGAAGUGAUGUUUAAUUUGAUUAAAAUUAGCUCAUUCAAUCAAGUUACGAAAUUUUGGUAUAUUCUUUCUCAUAACACUGAGUACUAAGCAAAAGAGGCUGUCCGACUUUCCAUGAUCUGUUAUGGAGUAGACAGGAAGUGCUUCUGCUCUUUUUAAAGGAGACAUUAAUCUUCGGAUUUCAGAAAUGCAUAAUUAUGUGAGCUUCUUAUUUUUGACCAACAUUUCGUUGAAUGAAGGAUUUGUGUGGCAAAUAUCAAAAUCAAACAUUUGGGAGAUCAAAAAGUAGGUUUCUCUUGGGCACCUUAAAAGUACCUUAAACUUAGCUCUUGACUACCAAUGGCGAUGCAAAAUUCUCCAUAUAAUUUCUUAAUUAAUCAAAUCAAUCCUUUUAGCAAAAGGUUACUACCGGUGCCCUCAAGACACUCGUUAACAUACUAAGUAUUCACCUAACCUAUUAAAUAUAUAUAUACACACACACACUAAGAAUUGCUAUCCAAUAUCCUUACAUUUAUAUACUUUUUCUAUUUAAUCUUACCUACCAUCUCUUUUAUUUAUUUAUUUUUUCUAAUUAAUCUUAUAUUUUCAAAAAUAUAACACCUAAAAUAUAUCUUAACGAAUACCCUAUGGGCACCCAUUAAAUAGUACGUUAAAAGAUACCAAUCAUAAUUUAAUCCAUGGUUUCCAAACAAUGAUUAAAUUUAGUGCUUAAUUUAUGCAAACAAUGCAAGAUCUUUAUGGGUAUACAACAAUUAAUUCUAGCUCAAUCCACUCAAAUACGUAGUAAUAUGGUUCUACAAAAAUAGACAUGUAUGUUGUAUAGACUAUACUACAUUGACUAGUUCCUGACAUUAUAUGGUUUUAGGAGUUCUUUUAGAGUAUUUUGAAAAAUGAAGCCACGGAUUUUUUUUGUUUUUGUUUUAUUAUACCUCAAUUUCCAUAUUCUAGUUGACGCCAAAUUAAGAACCUUUUCUUAAAGUUAAUUUAAGGACAUUAAGGGCAAGUCACCAAACGAAGGAGUAUAUAUAUAUAUAUGUAUAUAAUUUUUUUUAAAAAAAUUUGAGGGAUGGAAUUUAAGAAACAAAAAAAGGAACGGAGGAUUUGAACUCAAAACUUCUAAUUCUUGGGGUGAUAUUUUUCUUUGCGGAGAAGAAAAUCCAAUAGGGAUAGCAAAAGCACCAAAAUGUCGGGCCACAGCAAAAAAAGAAAAGAAAAGAAAAUGCCUCAAGGAUACAAAACUUGUCAGCAAAUUGGUGAGGAGCUAAUAUUUUUUCCCCAAAAAAAAAAAAGUACCUUUAGGAUUUAUAUCGCGCAAGACUGCAUAUGGGCAAUCUGUAAGCUGUCCGGGCUUUACGUAGCUUUUUAGCUAUAUGCUAUUUGGUACGUAAGGAAACAAGUUCUUGCUUACACAAGUAGGCUGCGUUGGUCGAUAUGUAUCUCGAUUAUGUACGAAGGUUCUUCUUUACACCAUAUUGGAGAAAACAUUCCAAUUUCUUGAUUUGAUGUUCAUGAAAACGUCAAACUUUACUUUUUCUCAUGAGCCAAAUAUUGCAGAGAGAAAAGCCUAGAUUGUGCUUUAUCUUUCACAUAAAAAUAUGCAACCAAAAAAAAAAAAAAAAAAAAAAUUUCUCUCUUGCUUCAUCAUGAAGAUUUCGUCCAUAUUAUUCCCAUAAAACAAAGAUACCCCAAUACCAACAAUUUGGAGAAUCUUCAAAAAUCAAAGUGACAAAAGUUUAGCACAAGACAUAUAUAAAAAAAGAGGCUAGGCAUACAGCAUGGAUAAUGAUAACGGGAAAAAGGGUAUCACCAGGUAUUGUCCAAAAGAAGAAUUUUUGUUACUUGUUGUCUUUCUUUUAUUUUUCUACAAUUAUUUUCUUCUUUUCAAAGGUGAUCAUCAUGGGGUCAAAAUCAUUUUUUUGCCUUUUCCCCUUUAUCUUUUUCUUCAAGGGCCCUGCCAACAAAGUUGUCUCUUGUCAAUUAUACGGAAAGAGGUCUCUAGCUUCUUGUUCUUGGACAUGGCUUGUCAUAAUUUAACUGGCCGAUUCUUUUUGUUCUUUUUUUUUUUUAAAGUUUACAUUUAUAUAAUGGACUUAAUUCAGGACGAAAAACUUCAAGGAAUUAACUUGGAAAAUCUACCAAAAAAUUACGUUAAAACCAAGAAGCAAAAUAAUUUAGUUGCUCCAUUUGAAGCAAUUUGACUCCAAAAGUUCCAAGAAAAGGGAAAGGAAAAAAAGAGAAAUUCAUCACUCGGGAAAGAGGUACGAGUAUUACUGUUAAUGCUAAAAAAUAAGCAAGUUCCAAACGAUUAGUGAAAAAAGAAGAAUAUAUUAACAACAAUUUCUUUUCUUUCCUAACCAACCUUGGGAAAUCUUUACGAUUAAUGAAGAUUUUUUCUUUUCGAAAAUCAAUAAUCUAAUAGUAGAUGUUGUGCAUGUCAAAGUUCCAUGAAGCAAUACUGUCAUAUCAUAGAGAAUUGAAAAAUACAUAAAGAAAAAAGAAAAAGACUAAUCUAAAAGAUCUCUCUCUCUCUGAGUAACAGGAACAAAACUUCAACUUAAGCUUGCUAGUACCCAUGAAGUGUGGACUACAUCUUGAGAAUAGAAACGAGUGGCUUGAACUAAAAAUUAUGGAAGAAAAAGGCUAGUGAUUCGAGCCAAGGGAACAAAGCUGUCUCCCUUGUACUGGAAUAUGAAUACAAAUGGGAAGGAUAAACAUAUACCCAUAUUCUUUCUAGCUUGUUGGGAUGCUUGGUCUCCUUGAAAACUCCACUUUCGGUAGCAGUAUAUAUGCAAUAUCCACGGGUGGUUCAAGACUAGUCUAUCAUCACUAAUAUAAAUCAACAAUCUCUUGAGAAGCUACAUAGGAGAUGAAGAGAGUUUCUUGGGAUUUUAAUCAAACUAUUACCCCAAAGCAGAUGUUUCUGUUAAUUUAAUUUAAUUUUCAUGCUCGCUACACCUGGUAAUAUAUACCACCAUUACCAGUUCUUAUUCUCUUUAUGUAAUAAGGCUUGCUAUUAUGGUAUAAUGAUAAUACACUUGUAAUUUAUCUACCUAAUUAAUGCAGCUCUGGCCAAUAAAUUAUAAAAUGUAUUAAUUGUAGGAUUUUUAAAUUUUAAAUCUCAUGUUUUUGUAAUAAAAAAAAAAAGGUACUUAGCAACUUACCUAACAGGUGCAAAUACUGUUCCCAAGUGCAUUGCAGGGGUUAAAAUGGGUGUACACUCCAAAAAAUGUUCAAAGUGCUGUAAUCAAAGUUCAUCAAAAUGACAGAAUACCACACAAUUGGGAGCUAGGGAGGGAAAGGGGUUAUGGCAUUUGCUGAUGAGCCAUGUACCUAUUGUUAUUUAUUUUAAAAGAAUUCUGCUUUCAUCCACUCAAAGCCAAGGUUUAUGCCCUAUUUCAACCAAAAAGAUGUCGAGAAGCUGGUUAUUUCAAAACAAGUUUUGGAUAGGAAGGGGAAAAUGAUCUCAUUUAUCAUUAAAAAUGGGUUCUGGCUUCCAAUAUCUUCAAUAAUUGAUGGCAGAGACGCAGUCAAAUUCUUGUUCGAAAUGUUUUCGAGGUGCAUGUAUUUAAUUGUGAGUACAAUUUAGUUUUCAAAUUAAUGUGUGUCUUUUCUAAUAUUGAACAAUUUUAUCUCUGUUGUAGAACAUUUUAUAACAAGAAUGUGAAAACCGUAAAAACAGGCUUAUGGAUUACAGAAUAACAGCAAAUGUGCCAUUUGACAAAAUAAUAAUAACAAUAAUAGUAAUAAUAAUACUAGUAGUAAUAAUAGUAUUAAUAAUAGUAGUAAUAGUAAUAAUAGUAACAACAGUAGUAAUAGUAGUAAUAGCAACAACAGUAGUAAUAGUAAUAAUAAUAGUAAUAAUAGUAAUAGUAAUAAUAGUAACAACAGUAGUAAUAGUAGUAAUAGUAGUAAUAAUAAUACUAAUAAUAAUAAUAAUAGUAGUAGUAGUAGUAGUAAUAAUAAUAAUAAUAAUAAUAAUAAUAAUAAUAAUAAUAAUAAUAAUAAUUGGGUCAGAGCGCCAAGUGGAUACUUAUUAUGAUAUGGUUCAGGUAUUGAUUAUUUUAAGAUAUAAAAAUAAAUAUGAAAAUGUAUAAAUAGAAGAAAAUAAUUAUUAUAAAUAUGCGUAUUCACAUGAUAGAUUAUUAGGUUAGAUGUAGAGGUGUUCAAAUUUUGGAAAAAAAUCAAAAAAAAUGGUUGAUCCAAGCCAGAUUGGAUUUCAGAUUUUGAUAGAAUUGAAAUAUAUCCAAUUAUAAUUUUUGACAAAAUAGUUUGAGAAUGAAUACUAAGAAUACAUUACCGAAUUACUGAUUACCGAUCGAAUUGCUGAUUUUUCAAUCGAAAUCUAAUUACUAAUAUUCAAUUUAUCAAACUAAGAUUUGGACAAUAAUAGAAAAUUGGUCUCAAAAAAUUGAUUCUCAAAUUUCAAAAAUAUUUUGUUUCCAAAAUUUCGGUUGCUGACUCGUGAACAUCCCUAGAUAGAUGUGAUUUAAUUGAACGAGUGUGCCGUGCCAUAGACAUUCGUGAAAAAAAUCGAAAAUAAUAACGUUAGGGAGAGAGAGAGAGAGAGAUUGGUGAAUUGGCAGGCUGACAGUCGGUAGAGCUGCAGGUCUUGGAGUUGUGUUGACGCACCCGGCAGAGAAACUUUUAUGUUCAUGCAGACAAAAGGAUGGUAAGAAUUCGUAAUAUUUUGUUCGUUAGUAUUCCCCACUGCCCAUUAUUAUUGUUUUUCCCAUGACCUAUUCACUCAUUCAUUCUCACUCAUACAUGGUCACUCACUAGACUCUAAACAGUAAACGGAAACAGCAGAAGCAGUAGGAGUGUUUCAGGCUUCAGAACCUAAAGGGAUAUCAGUCAAAUUAAUUAUUGAAAUGUCGCUUCAAUCUACAGUAUAUAUCAGAUUGGUUUUCCUGUUCAUGUACUGAAACUGAAGGGGAUAACAGUACUUGUAUGUUUCAUAUCUGCUCAACCAACCAACCCUCCAAACUAGGCCGUAGGCUCUAUACUGUUGCACUUCGUCCCUUCUUCAGUUCUUCUUCCUCGUGUCUCUUUCUCAUUCCCCCACCAGCCAGCAGUAUUCACUCAAUGCUAGCUGUUACAGAACCUUUUUAGUUUCUUUUUUCUGUUUUUCUUUUUCUUUUUUAAACAUAGUAUGAUAAGAGUAUAAAAUUUGCAUCCUUAAUCAUGUAUUAAGUUGGUUGGAUUCUUGAUCUUUAGCUUUUAAAUCUGUACAACAACUAGUACAACAACCAUUUGAAAUUGUACCUCAUCUUUUUAUCCAUCUAGCUAUUGGACAAUCUCCAGUCUCUCUCUAGCUUCUUGCUAAUCAUUUGCUUUUUUCCAAGCAACAGUGAAUCUCAAAUGGUAUAUGUUCCAACACCAUGAAUAAUCACAUGAUACACAACUCCACUAUCCAAAGCAAAAGGGCAUCAUACGCACCCCAAAAGCUGAUUUUCUUUCUUUCUUUCUUUUUUUUUUUUUACAGGAUGAAAAGCCCAACUCAAAUAGAUUUUGGAUCAAAUAUGCUCGCCUGGUCAUGUUAUCCAGUCACCUUUUGCCUAAGAAUAUGUACAACCUUUAUACCAUCUAUUUAUGAUACUACUUGCCUAGUUAAGUCUUCAUGUGGAUGAUUGAAAGAUAUAUGUUCCCACUUGGAUGGAUCAUUCCUAUUGCAUGCAUAGUAUUCCCCAUAAACAGUUGCUAUGUGCAUUUUGAGCUACUGGACAUCCCUUUUAUCACCUCUCAUAGUUUUACCAAUACCAACAAAUAACUAGCAAGGACAAAUUUGGAUUUGCUGAUUCAGUACGUAUACAGGCAAAAAGUAAUAUCUAGGUACAAAAAGCAAAGGCACAGAUUUUCCCGGGUACUCUUGGCAGUGAGUUCUCUUAAGUUUAAACUUUUAACCCUUUGAAAAGCAUACGUGAAAAAACUAACCAGAAAACCUCAAAUUAACUUUUCAUUUAGCCAAAAAAAGGUUUGGACUUAUUUUAAGCAAGAAUUAAUAGCCAGACUUUUGGCAUCUUUUCCUUCUUCUUCCUUUUUUUUUUAAUUAAGAAAUUUGAUUUUUGGUUACUUUAUCACAUAAACAAGAUUAAUAUGAAGCUACUCUAGCUUAUUACCCUAUCUUCGUUACUAACUGUGACCUAGCCGGCUUUGGAAUGUAUAUUAAAAAAAAGGAAAAAUAAACUGCGAAAGCUGUUACUCAUGGAACCCCACUAUAGAGGUCUGAAUGAAAAAUUGGAAGAUUUGGAACUACUCAUUCAUUAUGGAAAUGAAGUUGAAGAUGCAUGGAUUUGGAAAAACUCCUUCUAUUUUUGUCCUAACAGAAAACAUUCUCCAUGUCCGGAUGGUGUUCUUUCUGGGAAAACUCCGUCCUACAGAAUUUAUCAUUAUCUGUCCAACCAAAGCUAAAUACCCAAUUCUUGGGUAAACAAAAAAAAUUUCCAGUCCUUACUUCUUUAAUUAAAAUGCCAGAAGCUUUUGGCAUUGCUUUCCCGUACUUUAUGGGACUAUGUUUCCCGUGUCCACUGCCCAUAUGGUUUUGCUUCUGCUAAGUAUAACUCUAGUUCCUUGAUAGGUGAGUAGCUAUGCACAAUGUUGUCAAACUUGGUCUUUCUUCACUAGAUUUCAGUUGUUAAGUCCUCUAUCAUAGGUUGCAAUAAUAGAGUAUCACGCUAUCAUACAGUUAGAAGAAAACAUCAUUAAAGCAUAAACUGAAAGCGAAAAGGUCUUUACAUGGAGAACAUAAUCUAAACGAAACUUAUGACCGAUCCUUCAUUUUCUUUUUAUCUUUUUUCUUGAUCCUCGGGGAAGGGGAGAUGCUAGAAAGUUGAACUCUUGAAUCAUUACUACCUUAAUGGCUGAGUAAUACCGAGAGGUAACUAGUUGCAAGUCUAACUAAAUCAAAAGCUUUGAGGGAUUUUCAAACUUGAGAAGCCACUGAUAUGUAAAUCCUACUUGAGUUCGACUACUUGCUAGUUGCUAGUUGAGUACCCUAGACCACCAUUAUAUUUCUGGAUUUGUGGUCAUGAGUGCAUGGACUGGUCAUCAUCUUGUUCGAUCUCAGAAGCAGGUUCGUCAUCUUCUUCAAAGCUAUUGACACCAUAAGCUCCAUGUCCAUUUCCAAAAGCUUUAAUGUGAUCCUUGAGGGAUCUCUUGUGCUUAAAAUCCGACCCACAAAUGCAAUACCAGAGCUUCCCACAAUUCUUCUCAUGAGUCCUCCAAUCUCCUCUUACUGCAAAAGCUUUGCCACAUUUUCUGCACAUGAAGGGCUUGAUCCCAUGCUUCCUUUUGUAGUGUGUUUGGAGGGUUCUGAAAUCUUUUAGUGGCUUUGCUCUUGGAUGAUCAAUAUUGUUUCUGCAACCCGGUGCACAACAAUAGCAAGGGAGCCUUAGCAUUCCAGUAGGUUGAGUCCCCCUUAGAGAUUCAGGCCCUUUUCUGUACUGAGAUCCAUGCCCCCACAUAUGCAUCUGCAUCACCGACACAUUGAAAAAUUCUUGGUGAAUCUAACAGUACUUAUGUCUAGAAGAAUUCUGCCAGAUAAAAGGGGAAAAAAUACAAAAUGGAGGAAUAAAAGACAAUGCAAAACAUCUUCGUCGAUGAAAUAAAGGAUGUAAAUGUUGAAUAUCAUGACUAAAGGAUCUAAGAGCAUAUCAGUAGUUAUAGGAAGCAUUUCUACACAAAACGAGAAAUAUAAUUGUAAAUAGUUAAAUGAAAUGGUUCUUGAAAGAAAACAAAACAGAAUUCUUGAUUUUUUCCUAAUUUGUUUGGAGAUACUACUAUAAUGAUGGUAAGAUCUCCAUAUCAUAGACAAAAAUAAGAUAGUAGUUCUUAGUUAAACAAAAUAUUAAGUUGACUGGAGCUAGGAAGAUUCGCGUCAGAUGAUAAAGGGCUUUGAUUUCUUAAGAAUGGGGUUUGCUGGUUUGCAACCUGUAGUUUUGGUCUCGACCGUGGGGACAGUGGAUAAAAGCUUAGAGGUGGGAUUCUGUUCCUUAGUACUUCAAGGAAAAAUCCCGGAAAACUGCAAGAUUUUCAGUUGGAAUGCACAGUGCAGAUAUGUGUGCAGACAACAACAAACUUCGAAAUGUCUAAAGCAACAAGGAACAUUGUCUGUGUUGUUCAAUCACAUAAAUGAGUUCACUGCUCACGCACCUAGCAGCUUUAGUUCAGUUGGAUCAGGUGUGGAGAAUUAUGGCAUUGAAAUUGAAAGAAGUCAUAAAGAACAUUGAUAAAUACCGAAUAGUUAAUUCCAAAAAUCCAAUAGUACUUUUAAAGUAAAUGGAAUUUUGGAAAUAAUUAACAACUCCUCCAUAUCCAUAUCUAAUCCUUUUCUUAAAGUUCAAGCUUUUAGAAAAAAAAAGGAUUAGAAAUUGGGAAUUUGGGAGCCUAUUCUUAUUGAGUUUAGGAAUUGUAUUUGGAAAAAGGAAAAGUAGAGAGAGAGAGAGGGCAGGGAGACUCACAAUAGAAAAAAGAAGAAUAAAACGAGGAGGAGAGAAAGCUUUGGAGUUAAAAAUAUUUCCUGCGGCUGCUUUGAUCUGUGAAAUUGACUUACUUGCAUGUUGUUGUAUCUGUUGAAAGUUUUGCAGCAAACUGGACAGGAAAACUGAGUAGGACCAAUAAGAAUCUGGGAAGGAGUAGGGAUCCAAUACUGGCCCUUGUUGAGUCUGUUCAUGAUGGGGUGGUAUCCAGCAGCUGAGACAUCUCCAUCUUGAUCAUGAUCUUUAUCAGUGGUUUCAGCUGAAGAAGAAAGUACGGAAGCCAGAUCAGCUGCACUAGGGUUUGGUAGUCCUAUAUGUAGUGCUACAGUAACAUCUUCAUCAUCAUCUUCAGCUUCAGCUUCUUCAUGAACCUCAUGAACAGCUCCGGGAAAGAGGGUUUUUUGGCUGUCCUCUUUGGAUUUACUGCUGCUACUUCUUUCCAUAUCCAUUUCCUGGCAACAGGGCUCUUCUGAAAUUGCUCCAUGAUCAUGCCUUGUUGGACUUAAGCUGAGGAGAGGAAGGGCUUCUCUUAGAGGAGGUGAGCUUGGUGGGCUGUUGUGAGAGUGAAAAGAGGUGCUAGUACCAUUGUACUGAAUGCAAUUGUUUGAGUAGUAGAAGUUUUGGACAUAAUUAGGAGGCUGAUGAUUUGAGGAGAUUGAGGAAGAAAAAGGGUAUGGAGUGUUGAAUUUGAACCAUUGAUUGUAGAAAUUUGAGUAAGGAUCAGUCAUGGUGAAAAGGUGAGCUUUGAGGAGAGAGAAAAAAGAGAGAAAGAGAGAGAGUAGAAGAUGGCCAAAAUGUGAUGGUGAUGAGGAGCAAUCUGGAGACUGAUUAGCACUCAACCUUUUUCAAAAGGAGCUGAAUGGUGAAAUAUAUAUCACCUUACAGGUUCCUACUUCCUACUAUAUACUUUUUUUAUCCCCCUUUAAUAGAAAACCAAAGAAAAAAAAAAGCAACCUUGCCUUUUACCGAGGUGGGAAAUAGAUCCAUGGACCGUAAUUUCUUUCUUAACUUUCUUCAUCUCAUGCCUCUUUUCUCCACUAGGUUUUUGAAUAUUUAUUGACCCAAACAUUGCAUUGAUAUCAUGUAACUUUAAUAAACCUUGUAGUGUGAAAAAUGGAUUUCCUCUGUCAAAUACACAGAACUGCAAGUUUUGUUGAAAAAAGUUCCUGCUAAAUAAGAAAUUGUGGGACGUUAUAAUUGGGAAUGCAUAAGUUCCCAAAAUUUAACCAACUAACAUUUCUUUUAUUUUUACGAAAAGAACUCUGAAAUGAGUACUACUUUCUUUAGAGUUGUAAUCACCUAUUCUAUGAGAAUUGACAAUAAAUAUCUUAAAUCUUCAAAUCUUUAGUGAAAUGUUCCUGUGUGAUGAGAGGGUUAGUGAACACUAUUAGUCAGCACAUUUGAAGAUUAAUUUUUUUUUUUUUAUAUCUGGCCAUUUAUUCUAGAUGCCCCAUCGAAUAAAAGAAUGGUUUGAGUUCUUAAAAUACUUAAAUAUUGCGAAUUAGUUGUAACAAAAUAUUCAACAGCAAAAGAAAGGAUGAGUGGGAAGGUUUAGAAUAUUUGUUGAUUAAUUUUUUAGAAUUAAUUUCUCCAACGCUAACAAUUUAUACAGAUUAGCACAACUAGAUACAUGAUAUAUGUGUAAAAUUUAGAAUAUAAUUUCCAAUCGAGAUUAUUAUUUGUCAGGGCUUACUUGUGUAUACUAUCACUAUAAUAAAUAUUAACUUUUUAUUUUUCAUAUCUAAUCAUUUAUUCUAGAUGCCCCCUUGAUGAAAAGACUGGUCUUAGUUUGUUCUAUUGAAUAUUAGUCUUACCGGAAUGAUCAACAGCAAAAGUUAAUUUCUGGUUUCAUUUGGAUGUAAUCAAGAAUCCCCCUCUGAUUACUAACUUUAGGAGUUUUUAUAAAAAAUUAUACUGCAACGAUCCGAUAUAUGUAAGGUAAUAAAAUAAUUAAAAAAUGUGUUCACAGAAAAUAUAAAAAUUUUUCUGUAAAAAAUCACAAUUCAAACAAGGCAGUUUAGAAGGGGAGGAGAUUAGUGACACAGAGUAUUUAAAUUCACCUACCCAUAUCUCUCUUUGCAGCAAAAAUCCAAACUCAUAUCUUGCACGUUUGCCUAACUUUUACCCCCCAAAAAAAAAUUUCACUUGUACGGCUUUCUUUCUUUGUUUUUUGUUCCCCGUAAGACUAGUUGUUAUCAAGACACGAAAGUAACAUUUUACUCGAUCGUCCAAUAUUGAAUUGUAAACCAUAAUAAUCUUGUCAAUUUCAACUGCUUGACUUGUGUGUCUGUUUUCCACCAGAUAUAGACUGAUCAGCUUCCUGUCUUCUGUCCUUAUAAUGCACACAUGACAUGUUAUAUAUCAACUCCAAGUAUUACAUCUUUGUUACAUUACCCCUGGCCUAGGAUUGAUGCUAAUUUUUCAUAAUUAAGCAUAUAAAAUUUAUUGUCCAUUAAUUCUUCUCUAAUUUACCUUCUGUUCCAGGUAAAAUAAAAGAUCCUCUUGACCAUUAAUAAUGUUUAAUUUUAAGGAUUCAAAUAUCCCUUGUCCAUAGGAAAAAAAAAACUAGGGGUAGAACAAGAUAACAUGAUGAAAAUUACACAUUUUAAUUUAUUGAUGGGGUUGUGGGAAAUGUUUCACCAAACAAAUACUGUACUAUUCAUGAUACUUUAAUUUUUCUUCUUCAGUUCUUUGUAUUUUUUUUCCCUUCUUUAUAUGACUCUGAUAUUAACGUUGUUGAAAUAUGCUGCAGCUCAUAAUAAUUAAAAACAAAACAAACAUACUUGUUGACUUCAUGGUUGACCAUGCAGUCAACGUUUUCCAUGUCGAACCUACCGCGGAGGUGAUGGGCGACUUGCCGACUGACGAUGAUUCGAUAAAAUCUUAGUGCGGGGAUGGUGAAGUUGACCUUCGUUGCAAAAAAGUGUCCACCAAUUUCCAUCUUCAUAAGGAUGCCCUGCUAAUUACAACUAUAGGAAAUUUACAUACGUAUUGAUAUAAUUAAGAAGUAUAUCUAUUAUCUUUUCGAGGGUCCCAAACACAUUUCUUGUGUUAUUUUAUUCCUAGUACUCAAAACUUGCAAAUGGAAAGUUAGCAAUGGAUCCCCCAAAAUUUUUUAAAAACACACUAUUAGUUAUGGAAAUUUAUGACAGUUUCAAAAAAA
rnacentral:lncRNA from 1 species